GAAGUUAGUGUUGAACUCUCUGACCAGAGCUUUAAGGUUCAUGUUGAAAGGUUCAACUGCUUUGUUCACUUCAGCGGCACAGCCCAUACCACCAGCAUGGGAGGCGAUCAUCCGCGGGGUGCACCCUAUCCUACUGACCCCAAACAAAGCAACCUUCCUUGCUCCUUGGACAUACAACAACUUAUACAAAAACAAAUGUCUCUAAUUAAUCGGUUUAUAGAUAAUUAACUAGGAGUAAAAUUUGUAGAGAUAUAUCCAAUACUCUGCAUCAUGUUUUAUAUGGAAAUUAAUCAACUAUUUAUAAUGUCAAAAGUUAUUUCAAUGAAAUAUGAAGGUUUAUAAUUCCUUUAUUAAUUUUCUUUUCAAAACCUUGGGUAAUAUUACCUUCAGUAAAGAGCGAUAAUGUCGAAUGAGGGAAUCAGCAAAUUGAUCGUAAGUGUACUUGCGUUGUGUAUUGUACUUAUCACCUUGCAUGAAGUAGUUGUUAAGAUAAUCAUUGCUUCCUAUAUUAAUAGUGUAUAGACAUUGCUUCAGCUUCUCCGGGGGCACGUUUGCAGUCAUAAUCGCCGUCCGGUGGUUCUUGAUUUGCGUUUUAAAACUGAUUCUAUCACCCUAUCGUAAGAAAUAUCAUAAUGCGUAAGUAAUUAAUUUAAGUGUUUAAACACAAAAAAUACAAAUAAGCGAGUCAUAUUUAGGAUCCCUGCCAGAAAAAAGAGAAAAGAGAAAGCAAAUCAACAAAACCAAAUGAUUAUUUGCUUUAAAAAAAAAAUUAUUUAUAGUCACCUAAAACAUUUACAAAAUUAUUUGUGUAUAUUCAUUGGACAGGGAAUCACAACAUUUUAAAUUGUCUUUUUCUAAGUUAGGUUUGAAACCUCAAACUUUCAGAUACAAAAUCUCAAUUUACUAAGACUUAUUCUUAGGUCCACCCCCUAGGGUGAACCUCUAGGUUCACCAACCAAUAAGAUUGUCUUAUUUUAUAUUCGAUAUCUUUUAAAAAAAGAAACAAAAUAUUGUCAAAUUAUAUUAUGUUUUUAAAAUUAAAAGGUAAAAAAAAAAAUUACAAAAAAAAUAUUUUACGUCGUCAGCAUAACAUUAAACCCUAAACCCUAAAUUCUAAUCCCUAAACCCUUAAUCCUAAACCCUAAACCCUUGGAUAAACCCUAAACUGUAGGAUAAAUCUUAAACUCUAGGAUAAAUCCUUAACUCUAAAUCAAAAUCACUAUACACUAAAACAUUCAAGCGUUUUGGGUUUAGGGUUUUAAUCGUUUUUUAUUUAGAGUUUAGGAUUUAUCCAAGAGUUUAGGGUUUAUCCAAGGGUUUAGGGUUUACCCAAGGGUUUAGGGUUUAUGAUUUAAGGUUUAGGGAUUAGGAUUUAGGGUUUAGUGUUUUGUUGACAACAUUAAAAAUAUUUUUUUUUUUAAUUUUUUUUUUCUGUAACUAUUAUCUUUUUUUACUUUUUUAUUUUAAAAACAUAAUAUAAUUUGAGAAUAUUUUGUUUCCUUUUUUUAAAAGAUAUCGAAUUUGAAAUAAUGAAAUCUUAUUGGUUGGUGAACCUAGAGGUUCACCCUAGGGGGUGAACCCAAGAAUGACUCAUUUACUAAUUAGUUUCGUAUCAGCCAGACAUUAGAGCCACCAAAUGAGAACAUAUGAUCACUGCGCGUCUUUUGAAUCAGUAUUACUAAAUUUAGUAGUACGUUUAGGAAAGUUACUUAACCAUAUAUGUAGAUAUAGUAGUAUUGGUAAAAAUUAAAUACCCGAGGAAAAAUAAAGAUAUCUUUAUUUUGAUCUCUUUUGCUUCUAAAUUAUGUUCUUACCAGAUGGUAGCUAGUAUCUUCGAGAAUUCCCGCGCCGCCAGAAGCGUAAUUUAAACCGGUGUGAGCUUGUUCCGGCGAUGCUCCGGUGAAAGGUGGAAUGUAAUCACUGAAUCUCAUUAGUUCAGCUAAACACAACAUAAUUCAAACUCAUAUUAGACAAGAAACCAUAUACAAUACUUAUGAAUGAUAAACACAAUAACCUUUAAAAAAAGUAACAGAUUCACAAGAAACCAUUCACAAAAUUUGUUUUUUCCUUUUGGGAAAUUGAUUCUUAAAUACAUUAGGGCAUCAUUAGGCCAUGCUCAUCGUCAGUAAUUAGAUAAGAUAUGUAAACAAUAAAACAAUAUAAACUCAAAAAGUAAAAGUAUGAGAGGUAAGACAUUUUGAGACCCCCUCUGUCAUUUGAGAGGUCACAAGAAUAUUUUAAACUAUCUUUAAUGUAUUUUGCUAUUUUUUCUCUAAAAUAAAAAAAAAAACUUUAUAAUAAAGAUGAAAGAGUAGACGUCAAAAAAAAAAUAGAAAAAUGAGUAAUUUUUUUUAUUUUUAAGAAAUAAAGAUGAUUUAGAAUAAUUUUAUCCCUAAAUAUUAUUAUAAAGAUAAAUAUAACAGUGGGUGGAGAUGAUCUUAAGAAACUAUAGGGACACUUGUCAUCUUUUUAAAUCAUUAUUUUUGUCUAAAAUUAAAACUAAACAUAUUCAAAAGUAAUGAUAUUUAUUCAGAUCCUCAAGUAAGUAUCUCCAAUAUUGGAGUUGCUAUUAAUCAAUGAUAUUUAUCGCCAGAGACUCUGCAGAGUUUCAAAACAAAACAAAAAUUGAUGUUUUUAGAUUUUUAAACAAUGAAUGUCUAAAAACUAAGCAAAUGUUUUUUUUUCCAGAAGUGUUAUAUAUAGUCUCUCACGAAGAGAUCGUUUUGUGUGAUAUAGUCUCUCAACGGAGAGAUUUUCUUACCUUUCUCAUCCUUUUACUUCUCUUUUAUUUAUUUAUAUAUUUUGAGAAACUUUAAACCACCUAUGUGGGUGUGUGAUAAGCAAAACUUUAUUUAUCUACUUACAUAGUCUCUUAAUUUGCAUCUAUGACUGUUCUGCAUAACACUGUCUAGUUCUAAUGUUUGCAUUUCUUUUUAUGUUCCAUUGAAAAUAUCAGCUAAAAGAGAAAUGCCUACAUUCUAAACUUCCAGUUAGGCAAAGAAUACGUUAUGAUACGUUUGUCUUUUAUAGUUAAUAGUAUCUAUUAGUAAUUUCAUCGAAAACAUUUGGGCAAAGAAAUAAAACAAGCCAGGGACUAACCGAUAAAGUCGGGAAUAUUACGGCCAUUGCUGAACCGGCCCGUGGGACCUCUAGCUAAAUCCAUACCAUAAGGUGAAUGGUUAACUUUAGCGGAGGUGUUCAAGUCAUUGUUGUUACCGUUGUCGAAAACUGAGUCUCCGAAAACGAAAUAGCAAGGCACGCGCUGUCCACGAGCCCCUUCGGCCAUUGCAAACACCAUUGCCGCUAAACCCCACAGCAAUACCUUGAACGUUCCCUCCGCCAUUUCUGAAAACCAAUUACUAGAAAUCUGAAAUGUGGCAACAUUGAAGAAAAGAGAAAAGUCUAUAUAUAUAACCCAUACAUAGGAAGAGACAGACAGAAAUAAAAUUCUAUUUCUAGUCUAUUCAUUAGAAGAGAUAGUCAGUUAAUUACGGAUGUUAAUUAAUUUAUUUUUAAAAGUAUCUUUAAUAGUCAACUUGCACGUGAGUUGUAAUGAGAAAAAUACAAGUCAUUUUGUCAAGAAAAACCCUCAUGGUGGUGUUAUAUGGUAACAUAUUAUUAGUCUUUUAUCAAAAAAAAAAAAAACCCUCAUGGUGUUUUUGAAGAGUAUUUAGUAAUUUUGUUUCAAUUCAAGUCUGAUACGUAUAGAGGAUGGAGGGGGUCAGCCGACCGCACCUAAUUUAUAAAAUAUAAGUUUUUCUUUCAUAAAAAAAUAUUAUGACACCACCAAAUUUUAUAGUUUGACCCCAUAAAAAUAAAAAAAUAUGAAAACAAAAGCUUAAUUUAGCUGGGUAAUUAAUAAUUAGAGACUUGAACUCAUAUUUUAUUUCAAUUUUAUGCUUAUUUAUAAUUUAAAUUCACUUCAAAUACAAUAUAAAUAUUACAAAAUUGUAAAAUCUCAUAUAACUAUUAAUUUAUUACAUUUAAUUGUAUAAAUAGAACACAGUUUUUUGUAACGGAAAUAGAUCACAUUUUACAAUAAAAAUUAGUUUUUAAAGUCUCGACUCUCGACGCUUUGGCCGUUUGACAAUGUUAGUUAAUUGUCAUGAUAACUUCUACAACUUGCUGUCGUUUGUUUCUUUGGUUAAAGUUCACACACAUUCAUGGAUACCAUAAUCUAGGGAUUUGGUUACAAUUGUUUUUCCUAUAUGCAAAAAAAAACAAAACAAAACGAUAACAGAUAUAAGACUGUUAGAAACAACUACAAACCCUUGAUAAUAAGACGUGAAGACAAGAUAGUCAUCUCAGCUGAAGAAUGAAAAUUAUAAGUUGGAGUUGUUGCUUAAUUUUUUGUUGUAAUAGAGAGUUGAUUGCUGGAACAGUUUUCAAAGUCAAAUGAGUUUUAUAAAAAUUGAAUGACUUAGAAAAAUGGGUUAUCAAAUUAAUUUAUGAGAAAAUUUUAAAUGAUGUAUCGGCUAAGUGAAAAUGUAAACCUCCAACAAAGUUCAAUAGAUUUAGGCAACUAUAGAGAAUCAAUGAGAAAUUAUUAUAUAAAACUACACCACGUGGUUGUCCAAAAAAGGAAAAGGAAACAACCGCACACAUGCAUUAGUAAAAAAAACACACAAAUGCAUGUGCCACCGCUGAACUGAACCGAGUUUGAAUCUGCUUUUUUUUUUCUCUGAAAUCUGAUAUUUUAUAUAAUAACAAAGGUUUUUUACAAACAAAAACCCAAAAAGAAAAAGGAUCCUGGCCUACCAACAAGACCCAACUACAACACUAGAAAACCAAACACAGGCCCAUAUCCACUAACAAACAGAUGACGCAAAACAACGUGUUCAACUCAGGAGAAAAAAGAGACACGUGCAAAGACAAUAUCACCGUCUUCUUCCACCUGCGAAUCGUCGCUGCAACUGAACCAAAAGCCACCGGAAACCACCGGAAUCACACCGGAAACGCGAGCCACCAUCGAUUUCACCGACUUAAAAGUCGUUAUCGGAACAAACAGAUCACUUUAACUCCGGAAUCAACCGGGAACACGACCACAACCACCGAAAACCACAUCCAACGACUGUGUUGGAAGUUUUACGGAUUCAGCAUCUUUCCACACAUACGCCUAAGUUUUGGAUAGCAUCAAUCAAAUAAACUCAAGAUCUCAUCCAAACCCAGACCACCCAAUCACUAAAACGAAAAACGUCAUACAGCUCGAUCACUUCCGAGGAUUCGAUAGCCGGCAACCACCACCGAAGAAGAAACGGCACGGCCCCAGAAACAAAGCCAGUCAUCCACGAAACGAUCGGUGCGAUACUGGAACAGAAAAACCAAACAUACAGUACCGAAGAACCAACGAUACCGCAUGACGGACCGGAAACUAAACAAGAUAAACAGAACUGAAAUAAAAAGGAAGAAACCCGACCGACGACGUGGCUAAAGGAGCCCACCAUCGUCGGCCGAGAACUAUGCUCGGAGAUCGCUUAACUUUUUUUUCUCUCAACAAGGACAAUUAUGAGAGAGAGAGAGAGAUAGAUCUUCUAAAGCUGUCCUAACCGAGUUUGAAUCUGCUAAAUAUGAGCAUUCGACGAAAAAAUGGAAUAACUUACGAGAUAUCUUAGAUAUAUGAAAAAAACUCACAUUAGUUUUGUAAUAGGAGAUGUAGUCCACAAGAAUAAACCCACCUAAAUUUAUUCAAAUUUAUGAGGUGAAAUUGAUUCGAAUCCAGAUCAUUUAUCUUCUCAAAGUCUAUUCACCAUUAAACCACUUCCGUAUAGUUGAUUUGACAAUUUCUUAUUGUCCUUUUCAACAAUAAUAGUUGAUUUGUCAAAAUUUCUCUUAACAUUUUUAUAAUAUCUUAGAUAAAUCUAAUAAUGCCAAAAUAUAUAUGCAAACUAUAAACAUUUAGAUUCAAUUUUUAAUAUUUCAUCAGUUAAUUUUUUUUUAUAUCAAAUUCUACAAAAAUUAGAUGUUCUAAUUGAUUAAUAAUGGAUAACAACGUAUAUUACAUAUUAAAAAUUGUAUAAUAAUGUUGAACAAGACACACAAAAAAAAGGAUUACAAAGUUAUAUUAUAUUUAUACCAAAGUUUAAUCAACAUAUUCAUAACUUUUGUCAUAUAAACCAAAAAUUUAAUACAUAUGUGUUUUAAAAUUAUUUUAGUUCAUUAAAUAAAUUUCAGUUUAUGUUAUGUUAUCUAAGUUAGUUUUGAUCAUCUGAGAAUAAAGCUUGACAUAAAGAAAAUAUUGUUAUUACUUUUAAAAAAAUAUAUAUAUAUAUAUAUAUAUAUAUAUUAUGUUAUUUAAGAUUAUGUUUUAAAAGAAAUAUAUAUGUAAUAUUAAUAUUAUUUUUUGUGAACUUUUUUUUAUGUAAUCAAAAUUAUGUAUUUGGUAUAUUUUCCUGUUUAAAUUUAAAUUUUGUUUCUCUAGUAAAUUUUUAUUGUGAACUUUAUUUUUUAUGAAAUCAAAUUAUCUAUGAUACAUUUUAUUUUUAAAAAUAUAAAUUAAUUAAUGUUUGCUUUUAUUAGCUAUAUUAUUUCGAAAUAUAAAAAAUAAAAGGAAAAUUAAAUUAUAAAUAAAAGUUUAUUAGAAAUUAGAUAUAAUAUUUUUAAGUUAUUAAAGGUAUCUCUGUAAUUAUCCGUCCUAAGUAUUAAGAUGAGCGCAACAUGUAGAAAACUGACUUGUCAAAUAUAUUAUUAUAUGUGAUAUAUUUUUGUUUUUAAAAUUUAAAUUUUUUUUCCUUUUGUAAAACUUUUAUUGUGAACUUUCUUUUUUUAGAACUCAAAUUAUCUAUUAUACAUUUUCGUUUUAAAUUUUAUAUUUCAUAAAUUAAUGUUUCCUUUUAUUAUAUAUAUUAUUUAAAAACAUUAUAAAUCAAAAGAAAAUUAAAUUAAGAAGAAAUAAUUUUUUUUAAUAAUCGUAAUUAGUUAUAAUGUUUUUACUUUAUUAAGGGUAUAUCAUAAUCAACCGUCGUAAGAAUUAACGUGAAUGGAACAACACAUAGAAAACUAAUUUUUCAAAUAAUAUUAUAGAGAUUUUAAGAAAAUGUUAAUUUCCAAUUUGCGUAUGCAUCUAUUUUCUUAAGUGUAUUGUCUAUACAUUCCAGUUUUACAAUUUAAAUUGAAUAAAUGUGCUUUCUACUUAUUGUUUGAAUCACAAUAAAUAUUGCAAAGAAUAUUUUUCAAAAUCUUUUAUUAAUUUUUAUAAAAACUAUCUUAUCGAACUAAAUUGUUCUGUGAACUAGGUAUUCAACAAAACAUAAGAUCUCAAAAGGACGAUUAACAUAAUAUAGAAAACGGUUUGAGCAACAGAGUUUUACAGGUUAACAAAACAUUUUCUUUUAAAAAAAAGAAGAUCUUUGCUAUUUAAAAAAUAGCACUUAAGAAUGCCUUAUGUGAUUUAAGGGAACAUCUAUUACUGAUCUGUUCGUCAAACAUUCUGGUAAUAUAUCCAAAGAAACUCAAAGUAAAUUUAGGAACUUUCUGAUCGAUAACUUGAAUUAUGUGAUCAGUACUGAUUUUGUUUUUUAUUUGAGAAGAAAUUCAGUAUUUACAACAUUAAUGUUAAUGGAACCAGUAUUUACAACUUGGUCCUUUUCCUUUCAGUGCAGGUCCCGUGGUUUCCUUCAUCUUGCGGCCUCCUUUUCAUCCCGUAUUUUCGGCAUUGUUGAUGAGUGCGUACUGGUUUGUUGCUCCUUAUUUUCUCUGCGGUUAACUGUCAGUGGUAUUACUUGCUUAGAAGCAGUUAGGAUGCUCCGGCUCCUCUCUGGAUUAACAGCAAUUGGUUAGUGAAUAGGAUGUUAGAUCCGGAGUUUGCUAACGCUACUUGUCUGUGUAGUCGAACCAUUUUAAGCUGUCGGUUGUAUGUCGUACAUAUUUUACUUGUUUCUUACUUGUGAGCCACUGUUAUUCCCAUCUCGGGUUGGAUCAUUUUGGUUUGUGUUGUCUUUUUUUUUUCCUUAGUUUUCAGUUGUAUUUUUUUCCUUUACUUCUUCUUUCUUUGUUUCUCUUUGUAACCUUUGUUUCUCUUUUUUUUAUUUCAUAUUUUUUUUAUUUCAAUAUGAAAGCCAUUUAAAAAAAUGUUAAUGGAACCAGUGAUCUAAAAAUCAACAUAACCGGCAUAUCAGGUCUAGAAGAAACAAGUUAUCAGAAUGGCUUAAAAAGAUGGGCAAGCGUCCGUCUAAUCAAAAAUUAUCUAUUUAAUGUCUAGAAAAAGAUCGGGCAAGACGUCUGCCUAAUCAAUAAUUAUCUAUAAAAUGCAUAUCUACCGCAUGGCGAAUUCUUAAAAUUACCAAUGGAGGUUUGUCGAUGAAACGAAUAUAUAACUGAUGAGUUGACAUCCCUAUUCAAGGCGAUAAAUGUUGUGCUCGUUGUGGAGAGCCAAAGGAAUCAGUGAACCAUAUGUUUUUUUGAAUGUUCAUCGGCGAUCCAAGUUUGGGCACUAUCAUGGAUCCCAUUGAAUCCAGAUAUUUUUUCAACAUAGUCACUCUUCACAAAUAUGGACCAUAUGUUUUGGAGAGUUACUCCGGAGAUAGAGGAUCAUCAAUUUACAUGGAUCUUAUGGUAUUUUUCGGAAGAGAGGAAUAACAAAAAAUUUAACAACAUAGAUGUUGAUCCUAGAACUACUCUCAAGCUGGCAGAAACAUAAUCAUUAAUUUGGGCCGAGGCACAAACUACAAUUAUACAAAGGAUUACCCAAAGUAGGGUGAAUGAGGUUACAACUACACCUUCUACCCCAGACAGAUGGUGUUUCACAGAUGGAUCGUGGAAAGAUAAGGAUUUACAUUUGGAACAAGGUUGGUAUAUCAUUUUAGAAGGUUUUGAUGGAUUAUUGGGGGCACAAAUACUCGAGCUAGUCUCUCACCUUUUCAUUCGGAAGUAGAAGGCUUAUUUGGGCAAUAGAAUGCAUGACGAAUUUACGUCAGUAUCAGGUCACAUUUGCAACAGGUUGUUCUCAAUUGGUGAAGAUGGUUUUAGAACCAGAAGAAUGGUCAGUUUUUGCAAAUUACUUAGAAGAUAUUAAGAUUCUGAAAAGCAAUUUUUACUCUUCCUAACUCCUCCAUAUACCAAGAACGAUGAAUUCAAAGACGGGUAGCCUUACACGUAGUGCUAGAAAACAACCGACUUUUAUCGUCCAUAUAGAUUCAGAGUUACAAAAUUGGUUGCAGAGUCGUCACGAAUCUGUGAGUUUGCUGAUGACAAAAAAAAAGUUGACAUCCCUAUUUAGAAACAGUUUGCCACUUAUAAAUUUUGUGGCGGCGGUGUCUAAGUUACGAGUCUAUUGAGUCUUAAGUAAGCGUACAUGUGUGGAAGAAUCGGUUAGGAUGUAACAAUUUUUUUAUUUUUUAUAUACAAUAAUAAAUAUUAACAAUCAUGAUUUAUUUAAUUUUUCAAAGCUAAAACCAAAAAUUAGAAAAAAUAACUGAUGAGUUUUUUUUGUAAAAUAUUGUUGUAAAUUUCUUUUAAUUUUUACAGAUACAUUAGAUACAAUUAUAUCAAAAAAUCUACAAGAUAAUUUUAUUGUAAAAUUUCUACAAGUACAAUUCAACCAAUCACUAUGCAUUUGUUAAUAUUGCUAUCAAUGUUGUACCAAGAUCAUUAUGCAAAGCAAUGAAUUGCCAGAAACGAAUCAGACCAAACUAACACGUGUAGUGCAGUGUAUAAAGUCAAUCCGGUUGGUAAGCGAAUGGGAUGCUAUCUACGGUUACAUAUAUGAAUAUUUGGUAAGAAACAAAAAUAUGACUGAAAAUGUAUGAUCUCAAUUUUAAAAAUCAAAGUAGAUUAAUAUCCGUAUUUUGCAUGGAAUUAUCAUUGUGUACAUAAAUUAUUUUUACUUACAAUUAUUUAUUUUGAUUUUUUACAUAUUAUAAAUAUAUAUUAAAUAAUUGAGAAGCUAAUAAUGUAUAUAAUUAAAUUGGCAUAAACACAUAAAUAUUUACAAUAACUUAAUGGUAAAUAAAUAUAAACAAUCACUUUUAUCUAUUUUAUAUGGUAUAUAAUUAAAUUUAAAUGAUAUUAAAUAGAUAUAUAAAAUAUAUUUAAUAUGACUAUUUUUUAAAUAGAUCUUUGUACUCAUAUGGUUUUAAGAUUAUUAUUAUUUUUUAUAACAAAAAAAUUAAAACCGUUGAUAAAUGUUUUUUACAAAUGUGACUUUUAUUAGUUUUUGUAAUUUAUAAUCGUUUAAAAAAAUUAAUGUAAAUUAUGAAUUAAAAUAUUAAGUUUUCAAUACUUGUUAAAUGCAAAUUUCAAAUUUAAAAUAUUUAUGUGAGUUUAUAUGGUAUAUAUUUUAAUUUGAAUUAUAUUGAAACUUAAUAUUAAAAUAUAUAUUUUAAUGUAAAUAUAUAUAUAUAUAUAUUAUAUUUAAUAAGACUUCAUACUCAUAUGAUUUUAUGAUCAACUUUUUAUCUUUUUAUAACAAUUUGUUACACCAUUAGUAAUUACAAUUUUUAAAUGUGGGACUUUUAAAAGUUUUAACAAUUUAUAUUGUUUUUAAUAAUUGAAUAUAUAACUUAUAUGAAAAAAUCUAAAUUUUAUUAUAUGAUUAAUGUAACUGUUUAAUUUAUUGUUACAAUUUAAAAUUAAACCAAAAUGAUAGAGAAUACAAAAAUUGUUAUCAAAUAUAUAUUAUUCAAAAUCACUAAUUUGUCAUAUAUAUUGUAAUCACAUUGGGUAAUUCCGUAGCUUUUAUUUUAAAAAAAUAUUUUCUUGUAAAUUAAUAAUUAAUUUAAUUAUUAGUUUAAUAAAAAUAUAAGUAUACUUUAGAUGUACCAAUCUAUUUUUCUAAAAAAUUUAAAAAUCAUUAUAGUGAUGACACAUGUCAUAACUCAAAUGUUGUACUGUUUCUCGAAUAAUAUAUAAGAGAUGGGAAAGCUAUGAAAAUAUUUUGAAGGAGGAAAUGAAUGUGAUAAACCCUUUAAUAUUUUUCUAAUGAAAAAAGCUUUAUACAUCAAAUGUAUAUAUCUUAUUUACCAGAACUAAACAAGAGCUGUGAAAAAAAAAUGGAUAAAAUGUUGUAGAAAUUUGGAGAAUGGAAGAGCUGCUUACCAAAAAACUAUAUUCUUAGCAACGUGCGGCUAGAGACAUAACUCAUAUAAGGGUAAUCAAUUUAAUAAGAGUAAAAGUGGCCAGCCUGACGAGUGCAAAAAGAUGAGAGAUGUGCAGCGCGUCAGACGAAGACUCCUCUAGCCUAAGCCUCACAAGGGUCCAUCAACUGUUCAGACGCGAUUACCCAAGCCGGUGGAGGAUGUGGCAUGCACCCAUAUCACCAAAUAUGGAAAGAGAAGAGGAUCCAAGUCCCAGGCAUCAAAACUAUACACAUUUUGUAUAUAGAUCAUAUACUAUAUUCAUUGACAUUGUACCAACAUUCAUAAUCAAUAAGUUAUACCUUUUUACCUCAAAUCAUAUCAAAAUUGUCAUUUUAUUCAUUAUUUGUUCAAAGUUCAAACCCUAACAUUAAUUUAUGAGUGGAUUUCGUUGUCCAUCACGAGUCAUUUGGUUCCAACUCUCGAUACGAUCAACAUGAAUAAUCUCGGUUCAUAAAUCAACCACAAAAGUUGCGAAAAACCGUUGAAACAUAACGUAGACAUGGCUUUGGCUUUUCUGCCAAAAAAAAAUCGCGUGGAAACAUUUAUUGCUAUACAAGCUAUUAUCUUCCCCUGUCGAGGAUUCUACAUGUUCUUCCAAAAUUCUAGAAACAAGAUUCUAUGAUCAUGAUGAUGAUGAUGAUAUCACUUUCUCUUUGUAAUUUGACACCACAGGUCCACCACACGAGUAAAAAUAAAGCCUAGUAAAUGAUACUUCAAGGAACAAUGCCAUGCUAGAGCUUCCUAUCACAUUACAAAGAGCAAGUGAUAUGAUUUGAAGUCAUCAUCCAUAUCUUUGCACGUGUCUUCAUACUUGAAGUUAUUGUGAGUUGUCCAAUCCCACGACAAUCUCAAUGUAUGUCACAAGUUAGACAUCCUGAUCUUUGUACAUAAGCAUAAAUAUAUACUAACAUUUUAGAAUGGCACUGAAUAACAUGAUUCAAAUAUUAUAUAUCAAAGAUGGAAUUUGUUAAAAAAACAGAAAAUGGAAACGAGAGAGCAACAGGUUCACAUUAGACCAUUGAAAAGGAUGUAGUCCAAGUCAAAAGCCUUGUUUCUUCAAAGGCAAAUACAAAGCUCCAUUUUAGAAGUUUAGGAACAAUGACUAACAAUAGAAAAAAAGAGAGUUUUUGGGAAUAGUUAUGGCAACUACAGAGUGUAGUGAUGUCCUGAUGUAUCAAUGUCCAAGCCCUUUAGCUUUGCAACUGAUUCAACAUGUCCCUUAAAUGUGUGAAUCUCCCUAAGCCUGUCACAACAAAGCAUUCGCCAAUAAAAAUCAAGAAAAUUCAAGUUUCUUCCGUUGAGAUUGAUUUAAUCAAAGUACACUUACCUAGCUAUCUCGGCCCUUUUCUUGGCUUGCUCAACGAUCUGAGACAGCUCUCUGUAACCCCCGUUCUCUGGGAAGACGUUGACCUCUUGUCUUGUCUGCAGACCGUGCUGCGUCCUUUGUUCGGUCGCCCACUCAGCUUGUCUUUCUCCAGCUCCGUAAUCUCUCCUGGUCGUCAAAGCGGUCUGCUCACAAAGUAACAGCAGAAGCAAUGAGUAUUAUUAUGUUUACCAUCAAGAUGUAAAAGAGAGUUAGUUGUGUGUACGUACCCUUUUGUCAAACAUGCUGACCCAAGCCUUUCCACUCAAGAUGUAUCUAAUGGCAAACUUCAAAAUAUCUUGUGGGAUGUAUGUUAAAAUACUGUAAACCCAAAUCACGGCAGCCCAUCCCCAACCUAUACCUUUCACCCUUGCAAAAGUCCAAUCUGCAUACACUGCAAUCAAAGUAGCAACCUGCAUUUGGAAGGAAGGAAGAGUGAGAUGAGUUUCUUUUCUGGAAUUCCUGAAAAUAUAUGAUGUUCUUAAUUACCAGUUGUGCAAUGACGAAUGCAAUCAUCAGAAGCGCCCCAGGACGUUCAACGAAUGACCAGCUCCUUGACCUCGUGACGAAUAUAAGCGCUUGACUGAUGAUACUAACUUGUAGGUACACAGCAGACAUUAGUUCAUCGUUAUUGUCCCUGAUUGACCUCACACCAAACUUGUCCUGCAAGUAAAAGGUAAGUAAUAGUUUCUUACACAAUAUUUAUCUAUAUAAUCCCUAACACAUACCGAGCAGAAGUCAGUCUUGUGAAUCACCCAGAAGAAAAUCACACUCAUAACGGCUUGGUAGCCUCCCAACACAAUUCCAGUGGCAAAGAUUUCAUUGAGCUUCCAGCUAUCAGGUGUUGGAGAUGGCUUGACUCUAUCCUUUGAGAUUGUCAUGAUAGUACCUAAAAGACAGCAACACAUUAUUACCAUAACAACUAGUUAUAAUAUUAAGAGGUUAUAUAGUCAUUUUCUCACCAUCAUUAAGGAUGGCAAUAAUCAGAACCAUGAAGGCUGAGAAGUCAAAUUCCCAUAUCAGAGCAAUGAGCAUGAAACCAAACUGCAAAAAGUUACAAUAUGAUCAGUAUAUACAAUAAAAGAAACAAGUGAUAGAUGUUUGGUUUGUGAUUACUUACAACAAUACGGAUUGUGAUUGAGACUGCAUAAAUCUGUCACAUGCAUGAGAAAAAAAUAGUUAUUAGUUUCCUACAGAGUAGUGGUCAUAAUAUAAGAAUAAGACUAAAAAAAAAUUAAUAGAAUGUGCACUGUAUAGUUCUUCAUUCUCUGGAAGAUAGCUCUGCUAGUGAGCACUGCACUGAUGAUAACACUCAAACCAGGUUCGGUGAGAACGAUAUCAGAAGCACCACGAGCAGCAUCAGUAGCAUCAGCCACAGCAAUACCAAUGUCAGCUUUCUUCAAAGCAGGAGCAUCAUUGACACCAUCACCAGUCAUUCCAACAAUGUGUUUCAUCUCUUGCAGCUUUUUCACAAUCUCAUAUUUGUGCUCUGAAACAAUAAAACCUUGGAUCAAUCAAUCAAUAUAACAAAACAUUUUUCUAAUUAUGAUUUGGUUUUAAGACUGAGUAACCUGGAAAGACGCCAGCAAACCCAUCAGCCUUCUCAAUCAACUCCUCAAUAGGAACGGAGGCAAUGUUUGAGUCCCUGUCGGUACCGAGAAGAGCCGCAGAUGGAUACAUAUUGGUUCCCAUCCCAAGCCUGCGACCAGUUUCCUUACCAAUAGCAAGUUGAUCACCUGGCAAUGUAGUUAAGUGAAAACAUCUUAAAUAGCCAUGUUUUUUUUUUGAUGAAAUAAUAAUAAUACGGUGAAUUUAAGUAUAGUUACCAGUAAUCAUUUUAACGUUAACACCAAGGUUCAAAGCCCUACGAAUGGUUUCAGCACUGUCAUGUCUUGGAGGGUCAAAGAGAGGCAACAAGCCAACAAACUCCCAUGGUCCACCUGAGCUUUCUUUUGUUUUCUCAGGGACCAACUAAAAAAAAAGGAACAAGAACUGAGUUAAUGCAAAAAAAAAAAAAAAGAGAUCUCUGGUGUAAUAUAAAUAAGAGAAAAAGACCAAAAUAGCACUAAAUCAAGUUUUUGUUCUCAAACUAGCACUCAAGGUCAAAAGUCACAAAAAUAGCACUCAAAGGGUGGCGUUUAGGGUUUAGAAUUUAGGGUUUAGGGUUUAGAGUUUAGGUUUUAGGGUUUAGAGUUGAGAAGUGAGGUUUUGGGGAUAAGAUUUCAAAUUAUGAAAAAUAAAAAAAUUUAAAUUUUUCAAAAGAUAAAAUACUAUUUUGUUCAUUUUAGUUUUUGAGUGCUAUUUUUGUGAUAUAAACUUAGACCUAUAAAUAAGUACCUGACGAGCUACUGCCAAUGACCUAAGACCGCGCUCUGCGUAGUUGUUAAUAGUAGCGAGUGCCUUCUGCCUAAGCGCAGGCCUGGCAUUAGCAAGGUCGAGGAUCUGCUCGGGUGCGCCUUUGCUGACUCUAUGCCAGUUACCAUCAGAGUCGAUGUAAGUCAAAGCAGUUCUCUUGUCCACAGGGUUGAAUGGAAGGAAGUGAACCUCCUUGAUCCCAGCUCGGGCCUCCCUUGGAUCACCAAGCAUAUUAACCAUGGCUGCAUCAAUAGCAUCCUGGUUCUCAAUCCUAGAAGCCAUGGCUGCAAAUAAUAAGACUUGACCUUUCUCAACUCCCCUGCAGAAAACCUCGACCAAGUCCUUGUCCACACUCAGUUUAUUGAGUGUUAGCGUCCCGGUUUUGUCACUGCACAGGACAUCCAUCCCCGCCAGUUCUUCUAUGGCAGUCAUACGUUUGGUGAUGGCACCUUGCUGAGACAGCCUGUGAGAGCCAAUAGCCAUAGUCACGGACAGCACCGUCGGCAUAGCGAUGGGGAUACCACCGAUCAAGAGGACCAAGAGGUUGUCAAUUCCAUCUCUGUACUUCCUUUUUUGAAUACCGUACAUGACUAUUAUUUCAAUCACCAUACCGGUAGCAAUUGAGCAGAUACAGAAGGUUCCAAUGGACGAGAGAACUUUCUGGAAGUGGCCAACUUGGUUAGUGCUGUCCACAAGGUGAGCAGCUUUACCAAAGAAGGUGCGGACUCCUGUAGCUAUAACAACUGCUUCGAUUUCUCCUUGCUUGCAAGUUGAACCAGAGUAAACUUCUUGACCAGGGUGCUUGGUCACUGGGAGAGACUCUCCGGUUAGAGCAGACUGAUCAACCUUUAAAGGAUCACCUUCGAGAAGACGGGCAUCGGCUGGGAUGAUGUCUCCAAGUUUAAUGCUAACAAUAUCACCUGGGACAAGUAUAGCAGCUUCUUGUUCACUCCAUUUUCCAUCCCUAAGAACCUGAGAAGAAAAACAAAAACAAAGCAAACAAAACAGGUUAAGCUCAAGAAAAGUUUCAAAAAAAAAAAUAACAGCCAAAUUUAAUGCAGAAAACAAAAAUACUUUCAAUUUUUAGAUCUAUAUUAUUAUUUGUGAACUGAUUUUUUGCAUUUGAACUCUGAAGUUAAAAGUUAAAUCGAUUAAUAUCAUUGAUACCCUGAAUAAAGAUUAGUUCUCAAAGAAAAAAAAGAUUUCAGAAACACAACAUGAUACAACACAUUACCUUGGUUUUAGGAGCAAGACCAGCCAUGAGAGCAGCUGCAGCAUUACCAGCAUUGUUUUCUUCAAUGAAACUGAUAGUGGAGUUGAUAACAAGCAGACAGAUGAUACCAACAAAAUCUUGCCAAUCCGGAGGUCUGCCAUCACCAUUGGCCAAAGCAAUGGCCAUGAUAGCCGCAGCUUCCAUAACCCAUGAAAGUGGAUUCCACAUGAACCCCAGAAACUUGAGAAUCUUGCUUUCCUGUUUAAGUUUUAAAUGGGAAGAUCAAACUUGUGAGUUUUCAGAAACUCGCACCAACAUUCUACAAAACCAAAGCUCUUUAAGUCAAACUCAAACCUUCUUCUCUUCGAGCUUGUUGGGGCCAAAUAACUGGAUCCUGUCCUCCCCUUCCUGCGUCGUUAACCCUUCACUUGUACAUUUUAACUGCUGGAAAACUUCCUCAAUUGGAAUUUUUUCCUGAGAACCCAACCAAAGUUUCGAUCAGUAAUUCAUACACAUCAGUUACAAAAAAAAAUUCAUACACACGAUUGUUGUAAUGUUUCAAACCAAACAAAAGGGUAUUUUUUAUAUUAAAAAAAAAACAAAACGUUUUUAGUUUCAUACAAAUCUUGAAAGAACUUUUAUAGGAUUGGUGUAAUGUUUUCAAACCAAAGGGGAAAUAUUUUAAAAAUAACUUUUCAGUUUCAUGCAAUCUCGAAGCGAUUAAACUCAAGUUAGUGUCUUUUUUUUCCAGCAAUUUAAACAUAUUCAUACCAAACUCAUAGCUCCACAUUCAUAUGGACUCAAGUUAGUGUCUAUUGAACAAUGUUUUGCUAAAAGACAAAGAUGUCAAAAACAACGUACGGAAAGGUACAACAAAUCCUAAAAAUAAAAUUAUAUCCUUUUAUACAGUAAAAAUAUAUAAUUAAUAAUAUCAAGACUAUGAUAUUUUAUUACAGAUUUAUUAAUUUACAUUUUUUUUAUUUUACUGUAUAUCAUUAAUUAAAUUUUAGAAAAUUGAAUUUCCUAUUGCUUUAUUAUAUUUGUUGGUGUAUAUGAAAUAUGUUUUAUAGAAUUUAAAUGUUGUUUUAGAUAUAAAUUUACUAAAUAUUAUAAAAAUAUAUUGAAGCGUUAAAAAAAAAUGGAUAUGAAUUCUAUUGUGAAUAUAAAAUAAACAAUGUUGUUUUUGUUUGUACUUAUUUAAAUUAUAUAUAUAUAUAUAUUAUUAAUUUAAAAUUUUAAUGGGACUAUAUCUUUAUCUAGGAUUUUCUAAAAAUUAUUAUCUUAUUAUUUUAUUAAUUUGUGUCAUAUUUUACACUAGUCCAGAUCGGCGCUGAAUAAGUUUAUUAAUUUACUGUGUUAUUAGUUUAUCGAGUAUUAGUUUAUAGAAUUUCUAGUGUAAUUAAAAAUUAUUUGUAUUUUGGGAUGUAUUUUUAUGGAUGGACGAUAGAAUAUUAGGUUAUGUUUCCGGGGAUUUUUCCGUGUACUUAUGUAUUCUACCUUGUAUCUUUCCAAUGAAUGAAAUUCAAUUUCAAAAAAAAAGAAUAUUAGGUAGACAUGUUAAUUAGAGUUUAAACACAAACCUGUUAUGUCCUAUAAAGUAUCGAGUUUGGGUUUAAUUAUAAACACCCAAAAAAUGAGUUUUUUGGAUUAUUCAUUGAUGUUUUGGGUUUAAUCUAUUUGGGAUAGGACCAGCACAAAAAAAACUCUAAUCUUUACAUUUUAGUGUACUAGGAUCAUUUAUGUGACCGAAGAUGUUUUGUUAUUGGCAUAUUUCUUGAUACAAACUCUAGCAAAGCAAAUAUGGAUGUUGUGAAAAUACUUAAACGUUCACUCAAUACAAGAGACACAUGCUAAUUCCGAUAAAUCUGCUUCUUGUUUAUGUAAAAAAUAUUAUAAAAAUACAAAAUAUGGAACAUUUGACGACCUUUUGACAUAAAUUUUGUUUUCUUAUAUAUUUAAUUUUAAUUUACAUCUGAUUAUAUAAAUCUUUUUAAAUAUAGUUUACUUAAAUUAUGGUUUACUGCGUAUAAAACAUUUUUGUUAUAAAACAUUUUUGAACAUGAAAAAGUGAAAAUGUUUUUUUUAUAAAAACUUAAAUAUUUUAAAAUAGUUAAAAUGAUAGAUACAACAUAAUAAUAAAUUAUGUAGGAAACCCAUCUUUAAAAGCCGUUUAAUUUUAUUAGAACCGACAUGUCCUUAAAAUGUAGGCUCAAAAUAUUUUUGGACCGGACCGACUGGACUUAAAUAUUGCAGAUGACAUCCCUAAUAUUAGGAGCUGAUUUAACAGUAAGAAACUUAUUUUACAAAAAUAUUUUCAGAAAAAAAAAGUCUCUCUCAGAAGCAAAAUAAAUUUUAAUUAAUACUAUAUGAAAGCAAUUUAUUGUGACGUAGCUUAGCUCCACCUCUGUUUCAAGUGCAAAAGUUGUUAUGAAGUUCAUGUUUUAUCUUUGAAAUAAAUAGGUAGACAAAUCUGAGAUUUAAGGGGUGGGGAUUUAAGGAACUGUUUCAGAAUCCCAUCCAAUAUUUUUUAAGGAACCAUAAAUAUUUGGGGCUAUACCGUCUAUGUAUAUUAGUUUUUUAACAUUUGGAGGCAAGGGCUAAUUUUCAUUAGGAAUUAAUCGUGAAAGAAACAUUUUAACAGUAAGAACAAUCAUGCAAAACGAUAACAAAACAGAUCUAUACUCACGUUUAAUGAAAUCAUCCAACAGUUUGUGUGCAUGAUAACAAUUGAUUAAGCCAGAAGAUAGGAAUGAAUAAAAUACCAGAUCAACAUUCUCGUUCUUGAUAUUCUCGAGACCUGACAUCUCUUUCCGUUCUCCACGAAACGGCGUCCCUCUCUGUCGUUUCAACACUUGAUAACACUGACACCCGAGAGAGAUAGGUUCUAUUGCAGAGGGAAAAACGUCUCCUCCUUUUUAUUCGACAUUCAAACGACGGACUUCUCCACCGUUUUAGCUCAUGUGGACCCCGUGCUAGAUUCUCUAUUUUACCCAUUUUGUUAAUGUAUUAUUUCAUUCUUUUUUUGGCACUCAAACGAAAUUUGUUUUGUUUUAUUUGUUUCUUCUCUUUAUUAUUUGGUGUUCAUCAAUUGGUUCUUGAUUUUUUAUGGCAUCCUUUCUCACCUGGACACGUGUUUUGGCUGUAUAAUUAGAAUCAGAUAUUGUUGUGUAUUUCUUUGUGGUUAAGAUUAUAGAAUUUUAAAAUUAAUCACUUGCUUUGAUUUCAGAAUCCAAUGGAAAAGUUUAAUAUCAUUGAUACCUUAAUGAAUAACUAGAUUUAUUAUUUAGAUUAUAUAACUAAUUAUAAAUUAAAAUUAUAAAAAAAAACAAUUUAAGACUAAAAACACAUUAAAAACUAAUAUAUAUUGUGUUAUUAUUUAAAAAGAAUAUUUGUCAAUUAUCAAAAUUUAAAAAUUAAGAAAAACAGAUGAAUAAUUAAAUACUAAUCAAGUAAAUAAAUAAUUUUGUAUAAUCAAUGAAUAUAGUGUAUAAAGAAUUUUUUUAAUUAUUUAUAAUUCUUCAAUGUUUCCAAAAUUUGAUGAUUAUAUAUAUUUUUAUUAAAACCCCCGUAUAUAUAAUUUAAUGAUUGGUUUAAAAUAUGAAGAGAAACAAAAUUAUUAUCAUGAUGGUUUUUAAAUGACGCAUAUAUUAAUAAUUAGCUGUAAAAUUGAUUACUUAUGGGUCUUCAUAAAAUCACUAAAUAAUAAUAGUUGGAGAAAAUCUCCUAAAUAUUUUUUUCCACUUUAGUGUAUUUUAGAUAGCUCCAAAAUUAAAGUGAUCAAAAUAUGUUUCAUUAAAUGGGUAAUGACAAUUAUAUCAUCGUUUACAAUUUUAGAUAAUCAUAAUAUAAAAUUAUUAAAAAAAAUAACAAAGUCAAAAUAUCUUUUUCAAAAUUUCUUUUUCUAAAAUAUAUAUUUCCAAUAACUCCUUUUAAAACAAUCCUAGGAAAACCUUCCUUAGCAUGUAGGAUAUCUUUCUGAAUUUGUAAAAAUAAUUUCCUGAAUUGAGGAAUGGUUUAUAAAUGUGUAAUCUUGAAUGUAAAUUGUAUGUAUAUUUAAGAAGUUCUUCCUAAAUAUGAAUGAUAUCUUUCUAAAUUUGAUAAAAUUUAUUUUGAUAAUUUUGACCUUUAAUAAAACUUACAAUAAGAUUUAUAAUUUUCAUUUAUCUCUUUAAUAAAACUUAUUUUGAACAUUUUGACCUUUUAAAACUAGUUUGGAAACAAAAACUUGUUUCGGGUAUAUUUGAGUUCAUUUCUCUAAUAGCCGGUUACGUCAACGUAAUCACACAAUUUAAUAUUGAGUUAUAUCAUAAAAUAAAAUUUUGCAUGAUUAAUAAUGUUAUUAUCAGUGGACAUAUAUGAUAUGCGCACUCUCAACUGAAAUCUAUAUUAAUAUUAGUGACUUUUCUUACUUGUCAUUUUUUCCAUAUUUUUAGGUUAUUUUGCUUAUUUGUAAUGUUUAAUUAAUUUUAGAAGCUUAUUUGUCAUAUUCCAUAAUUUUAGAUUAAAUCAUUAGUUUUAAUAAAUAACUUGAUUUUGAUCCACAUUUUUAAAACGCAGAUAUUUUUUCAAAACGCGGAUAUUUAUCGUAGUGUACAUUACAAAAGAUGACAUGUUAAAUAACAUGAUUGAAGAAAAUAAGAAGUACAAAAGAAAAUAAAAAUAAUCAAAUCAUAUGUGGAUUGAAAUGAAGAAUCAUUAUGAUAGUUCAUCAGCACAUAAAAAAAAAACAGAAUCAGCAAACCAAAAAUAUAUGUAUAUAUAUAUAUAUAUAUAUCUUUACAUUCUAAAAAAAAAAAUACUAAGUUGAAGCAUCAAAAAUUUAGCAUCAGAAAAUUCAAUGACUUCGUUUUUCUGCUGUGAAUAUCAUAUAUAUAGUAGAUCGGUAAAUAUUUCUAAAUGACCUAGCUUUCACGAUAAGCUUUGAAAUAGAAUAUUCUUAAAUAAAUUCUCUGAAAAAUCUUAUGCUUAUAAGGUAAUACUAUUUUUGGAAUAUCUUGUUAGUAGAGAAAAAGAGAAAAUCUUGUGAUUGGAUUGCAUCCAAAUUUUGGUUCAAAGAUUUUAUUAUAAAUAUUUAAAUAUUGAAUGCAUGAAUCAUUUUUUCUGAUGAAUUUCACAAAGUUUCAAUGUGGGACGUUUACACUUUGUAGAUAUAAUGAUCUUAAAUAUAUUUCAUGUGUAAAUAGAUAUAGGGACUUUUUGUAUAAAUGAUUUCCUAUAAACUCAAGAAUAUAGAUAUUCUAAAUCUUGUUAGGCCCCUAAAAUUUUGCUUACCACGAUUUACAGUAAGAUUUUUUUAUUUUUAAAAGUAUUAAUAAGAAAAUAAAUAGAAAGAAAAUAAGAAAAUAUUGUACGUAAUUAAAUGUUUGCAAAUAUCCAAAUUACCCUUAAUGAAAGACACAGUUUAGACUUUAGAUAGAAUGGUAGAGGCAAUUAGUGGAAAUAUCCCGAAGUGUAUUCUGCUUUAAUAGUAUACUAGAUACGGACCCGCGCUGUGCGCGGAUUUGUUUCCUUAAAUCUUCGUAUAAAAUAAAUUAUACUAUACGAAUAUCAAAUUUGUGGUUUAUACUUUGAAAAAUAUUUUUACUUGGAUACAAAAUAUUUGCUCCACAUAUAUAGCAUUGGUGUGUGUUUUAAUAGAGAGUAAUUUGGAACCAACGUCUUCUCAAUCCUGCCAGUUUAUGAUCCGCCUUGUAAUGGAGUAAAGUGAUUAUGUUACAAAUCCCUUUAUUUAAAUAAUAUAGCCCUAUUAUUUUAAUAAAUUUUAGACAUAGUAGCAUCUAUUAUAUUAUUUUAGUAAAUUUUAUUGGUAUAAGAUAAUUUUUUGGAUGUUAUGAUAUUAAGUUUUAUUUUUAACUAAGAUUUUAAAAUAUUAGAUUGCUUUAAUUUUACAACAUAUAUAGUGUUUUUUCGUGGUGCAUUUCAAAAAGUUAUUAUUUAUUAUCUAUGAUUUUAUCUUUUGUAAAAUUUGAAAUAUUAUCAUUUUGAGUUUGAAUAUUUAUUUUCAAAAUUUUAUAUUGUGUCAAGAAAACUUUGAAAAAUUACACUACUAUUUGAGUUUGGAAGAUUACAUGAAUUUUGAAUUUUAUUUUGUUACUACAUUAAUACAUUAUUUUAUAAAAAUAUAUUUGAAUUUUUUAUAAUAUUUUCUAAUUUUUCUCAAUAUAUUUUUUUAUAAUUAAAAAUAUAUAACUAAAAUUUGAUUUUGUCAUUAAUAUUUUAAAUGAAUUACUAAAAUUUUAUAAUUUUCUAAUAACAUAUUUUAAAAAUAGUAUAUGAAAUAAAGGUUAUUAUAUACUAUUAUAUUUUUGUAUAUAAACCUUUUAAACAUUAAUAUAUUGUUGAGAUACCAAGUUAACAUACCAAGUAAAAAUCUGGUUGAUAUAAUUACUUUGCAUGUAAAUUUCACAAAUAUGUAUCUUACGUAAUAGUUAUAUUAUUUAAGUGUUAUGUCUUGAAGAUGGCUUUAAGUUAUUAGUUGUUUGAAUCGUAAGACUUAUUUGACUAAGAUAAUUAGGAUGUAUAAUUAAUAGAUAUUUAACUAACUAAAAUUACAAAAUAGAUAUGAACGGAAGUCUUGAAUUGUAUCUUCGGCUUUAAUAGAUUAAAAAAACAUAUGUAACGUAAAUGGUGAACAUGAUGAUCUAAACUCUUUAUGAUUAAAACUUAUAUGCAGACAACAUUGUGUUCAUAAUUAGAAAUUUUUAUUUGUUGGAAUGUUUCAUAUGGAUACAGAUGAACAAAAUAUGAAAUUAUUUGAUUUUUUCUGUGACAGAUAGUCAUCUGAAGAAGCAAAGGCGACAUAUAUAUUAACAUGUGUCCAAUUAGAGUUAUCGUAUGUUUAUUCUAAUAGUUAAUAACAUAUCGGUUUAGUUAGUUUAAUUUUAGAUGGUUUUAGGAGAUUAGAUAUUGGUUUAGUUUAAAUAAUCUGGUUCAAUUAUUUAGGUAGCGUGUAAAAAUAUAAUUGUAACAAACUUGUAAGGGUCCAAAAUACAUGUAGCGUACUAACAAAUUUAAAAGGGUCUAAAAUUUUUAAACAACUUUUCUAAGUAGAUAAUAAAAUAGGACUCUAUUUUAAUAGAUUAGAUUUUUGAACUGUUAGUUUCUAAACAAUUUUAGUUAUUAUUUAGUAAAUAUUUUUAUCAUAUUCAGGAGAAUUAUUAUUAACGAGUAUUAUCAAAUUUUAGCAAUAAUUUUUAUAGUUAUGUUUAUCUUAUAUUUACUUUAGUAAUGCUAAAUCGUUUAAUUUUUUUAUUUAUUAUUAUUUUUAAGGAAGCUUUCUUCUCUUUAUUUCAGGGAAUCAUCUUCAAUCAAAAACUAUGAGUCCAAAGAAUACAAUCUCUUGUCCUUGUAAAUUAAAAAAAAUUCAGUUUCACUAGACAUAUAUAAUUUAUUAUUUUUAGUUUAUAAAUUUUUAUUUAAAUAGAAAUAUGUUUUUAAUUCUUGUAUAUUUUGUUAAUAGGUAGUCACUAUGAACUUUGAAGAAGAGAAAAUUCAUAUAAAAUACAAUUAAACUAAUGUUUGUAGGAAUUACCAAAACAAGGAAAAUUGUUCAAUCAUCUAUACUAUUAUUUGAUGAAGAGAGAUUUGAUUUCACAUGCUUCACUGAUAAUUGGUAAUUGUGGUUUAAUUUGUAGAUUUAUCUUUUACGUUAUUUUAAAUUAUUAAUAAAACUUUAAUAGGUUAUUAUGAUGAUGAUACUCUUUACAUGUGUGGUUUGGUGAUAGAAUAAAUAAAAGAUUUUGCAAAUACCAAACCGUUAUUUAAGUUGCGUUGUAAUAAAAAAAAUUAUAUCUUCCAAUUAAUUUAAUAUUUAAAAUUAUUUAAAUAAUUAAAAUUUCUUAUAAGCCAUGUUCUCAGUAAUUUUAAGUUAUUUUGAUUAUUUGUCAUGUUUUGUUAGUUUUAGAAACUUAUUCGUCAUAUUCCAUGAUUUUAGGUUGUCAUUAAUUUUUAUAAAUAAAAUUUUGAAUUGUUAGUUUUUAUACAAUUUUAGUGAUUAUUUAAUAAAUAUUUUAAUUAUAUUCAGGAUAAUUAUUAUUAACGAGUAUUAUCAAAUUUGAGCAAUAAUUUUAUAGUUAUGUUUAUCUUAUGUUUACUUUAGUAAUAUUAAAUCUUUAAUGUUUUUAUUUAAUAUUUUGAAAAAGAAGCUUUUUGUUUUAUGUGAGUGAACCAUCUUGUCGUUGUAAAUUAAAAAAACAAAAUCCAGUUUUUAUAAGACAUAUAUAAUAUAUUACUUUUGGUUUAUAUUUUUUUAGUUAAAUAGAAAUAUGUUUUUAAUUAUUGUAUAUUUUGUUAAUAGGUAGUCACUAUGAACUUUGAUGAAGAGAAAACUCAUAUAAAAUGCAAUUAAACUAAUGUUUGUAGGAAUUACCAAAACAAGGAAAAUUGUUCAAUCAUCUAUACUAUUAUUUGUUGAAGAGAGGUUUGAUUUUACAUGCUUCACUGAUAAUUGGUAAUUGUGGUUUAAUUUGUAGAUUUAUCUUUUACGUUAUUUUAAAUUAUUAAUAAAACUUUAAUAGGUUAUUAUGAUGAUGAUACUCUUUACAUGUGUGGUUUGGUGAUAGAAUAAAUAAAAGAUUUUGCAAAUACCAAACCGUUAUUUAAGUUGCGUUGUAAUAAAAAAAAAAUAUUUUCCAAUUAAUUUAAUAUUUAAAAUUAUUUAAAUAAUUAAAAUUUCUUAUAAGCCAUGUUCUCAGUGAUUUUAAGUUAUUUUGAUUAUUUGUCAUGUUUUGUUAUUUUUAGAAACUUAUUCGUCAUAUUCCAUGAUUUCAGGUUGUCAUUAAUUUUUAUGAAUAAAAUUUUGAAUUGUUAGUUUUUAUACAAUUUUAGUGAUUAUUUAAUAAAUAUUUUAAUUAUAUUCAGGAUAAUUAUUAUUGACGAGUAUUAUCAAAUUUGAGCAAUAAUUUUAUAGUUAUGUUUAUCUUAUGUUUACUUUAGUAAUAUUAAAUCGUUUAAUGUUUUUAUUUAAUAUUUUGAAAGAGAAGCUUUUUUUUAUGUGAGUGAAUCAUCUUGUCGUUGUAAAUUAAAAAACAAAAUCCAGUUUUUAUAAGACAUAUAUAAUUUAUUACUUUUGGUUUAUAUUUUUUUAGUUAAAUAGAAAUAUGUUUUUAAUUAUUGUAUAUUUUGUUAAUAGGUAGUCACUAUGAACUUUGAUGAAGAGAAAACUCAUAUAAAAUGCAAUUAAACUAAUGUUAUGUUAGGAAUCACCAAAACAAGGAAAAAUGAUCAAUCAUCUAUACUUUUAGUUGAUGAAGAGAAGUUUGAUUUCAUAGGCUUCACUGAUAAUUGGUAAUUGUAGUUUAAUUUGUAGAUUUAUCUUUUAUGUUAUUUGAAAGUAUAAAUAAAACUUUAUUAGGUUAUUAUUAUGAUGAUACUUUUUACAUGUGUGGUUUGGUGAUAGAAUAAAUAAAAGAUUUUGCAACUACGAAACCAUUAUCUAAGUUGCGUUGUAAUAAGAAAAGGUAAAUUAUAUCUUCUGAUUAAUUUAAUAUUUGAAAUUAUUUUUAUAAGUGAGAAUGCUUACUUGCCAUGUUCUCAAUAAUUUUUAUUUAUUUUGAUUAUUUUUCAUAUUUUAUUAAUUUUUAGAAGCUUAUUUGUCAUAUUCCAAGAUUUUAGGUUGAUUCAUGAAUUUUAAUAAAUAAAAUUUUGAAUUGUUAGUUUUUAAAAAAAAUAGUGAUUAUUUAAUAAAUGUUUUAAAUUAUAUUCCGGAUAAUUAUUAUUAACAAAUAUUAAUAAUUUUUAGCAAUAUUUUUAUAGCUAUGUUCAUCUUAUAUUUACUUUAGUAAUAGUAAAUUGUUUAAUGUUUUAUUUAUAUUAUUGUUAAAAGGAAACUUUCUUAUCUUUUAUGUCAGGAAAUCGUUUUUUUUUUGUCAACAGCAUACACAGACUCAACUAAGACUCUGCAAACCAUACUGGUAACUCGACAUCCAUAUAUGAACAACAAACAACGAUUGCUGCCUAGCACUCUGUGCAAGACUGUCUGCCCUUGUAUUAAGUGUCCGGGGUAUAUGAAUGAGAUCUGGGUGAUUGAAACUUCUCUUCAGUAUCUUGGUGUCUUCUAAAUAACGAAAUCGUCUUACCAAUCAAAAGAUAUAAGUCCAAAGAAUACAAUUUCGGACCGUUAAAAUUAAAAAAAAAAAUCAGUUUUUGCUAGACAUAUAUAAUUUAGGAGAAAUUUCAUUUUUACCACUUUUAUGGUAUCAUUAUUCAUCUUUACCACCACUAAAUAGAUAUUUACAAAAAUACAUUUUUAUUAAUUGGCAAAAGACUUUUAUACUCGUGUUCUCUAUAUAUAUAAUAAUAAUUAUUUAAAUAAUAAAAUAUAAAUAUUUUAAAAAUAUAAAAUUUUAAAAAUAUAAAAAAUAUAAAAACAUUUUUUUUUUAUGUUUUUGAAUUAUACUUUUUCGAAUUUGAACCUUUUUAUUAAUUUUUUUAAUUUUAAAAAAAAGAUUUAAGUAUUUGUUUAUAUAUUUAUUAGAAUCUCAAAUUUAACAUUCCAAAAACCCUACCCCACACUUCAACUCUAAACCCUAAGUCUAGAUUAGUUAACCCUAGGGGUAUAAAUAUCUUUUAACUCUUUAUUAAAAGUGAACGUAAAAAUAGUUUACGUAAACCUGAAAAGUGGUAAUAUAAUUGUGGUAUUUAUGGUAAUUUUCCUAUAAUUUAUGACUUUUAGUUGAUAAAGUUUUAGUCAAAUAGAAGUAUGUUUUAAUUAUUUUAUAUUUUGUUAAUAGGUAUCACGAUCAACACCGAUAAAGAGGAAAUUUCAUAGAAAAUGCAAUUAAACUAAUGUUCGUAGGAAUCAUCGAAACAAAGAAAAAUAUUCAAUCAUCUAUACUAUUACUCAAUGAAGAGGGGUUUGAUUUCAUAGGCUUCAUGAUAAUUGGUAAUUAUGGUUUAAUUUUGUUGAUUUAUCUUUUAUGUUAUUUUAAAGUACUAAUGAAAAUUUAUUUGGUUAUUAUGAUGAUAAUAUUUCUUACAUGUGUGGUUUGGUGAUAGAAUAAAUAAAAUAUUUUGAAGUACCAAACCAUUAUCUAAAUUGCUUUGUAAUAAAAAAAAAGCUAAAUUAUAUCUUCUGAUUAAUUUAAUAUUUGAAACUAAUUAAAUAAUCUGGACAGAAAUUAAAAUUAUGUUAAAUUUGAAUUGGUUGGAACUUUGUGUUUUUGAGAAUUUAGUUUGAAACUUUGUGUUUUUGAGAAUUUAGUUUGAAACUUCAGGUUGGUCAUAUGAAGCUUUCUGGGUUUUAUCCUGCUGUGUAUUCCUAAUUGGGUGUAAAUAUUAAUAGAUCUUGGUUAUUACACUGACCCGUAGAAGAAAAAACAUUUACUUGGGAAAGAACCACUUCUGUUACAGCCUUGUUCAUUUUCAGGCUCAACCAAUCUCCAACGUAUAAUACUCCGUUUUACCAAAAAAAAAAACGUAUAAUACUCCGAGCGUGGUGUAACUUCUUCUCACUGUCCUUGGCUCGAUUUCUCUGUUUCCACUCAGUGCAAUGAGAAAGAAGAAGGAUGUUCCUGGUGAAAUAUAUGAUCCAGUUUCUGAAUAAUUUCUUCAUUUUUUUUCUUCUGUGUUUUUUCUUUCAGUUUCUUUGACAUGAGCUAGGGAUUAAUACAUGCAGCUCUAAGUCUUGUAAAGGCAUCAUACCAAGUACUGUGGUAUCUUUUUUGGCUUAUGGGCAGAGCCGGCUCAACAUUUAUUUAGCUUAUGGACAACACAACGUUUUAAAGCUUUUAACAUUUCUGUUUAUUUAAAAUUUAAUUAUAUUUAAAUUUUUUUAUCAUCAAUAUCUUUAUAAAAUUUACGAUGAAAAUAAAUUGUGUAACUUAAAAUAUUUUUGGUGCCCUUUUCAACCAAAUUUAAUGAAUAUUUAAAAUUUUAUAUCUAAAAAUAUGUAAAUAUAUAUAAAAAUAUUAAGCCCAUUAACUAUUAAGAAACGGUGGGACACGGAUUUGGACGGUCGCACCGUUUGUCCCCCGACACUGCUUAUGGGUUCAUAGAGUACUUCCAUGUUACCUGGGAGAAAGAAGUCAGUGAAUGCUAAAUUACCUCCUCCAAGAUCAAUAGGAGAGAGUAGGGCUGGGCAAAUAAACCGAACCCGAUAACCCGAACCGAAUCCGAUCUGAUAAAAAUGAAUCCGAACCGAUCCGAACCCGACGUAAAUACCGAAUGGAUCUUGUUUUGUGGUAUUUCGGGUUAUGGGUAUUAUCCGAACCGAACCCGAAUCUAAAUGGAUAUCCGAUAGAACCCGAAACAUUCAAAACCUCGAAAAGAUCUUGUACCAAACAUGAUCUCAAUUCCUAAUAUGUAUCCAAAAUAUACUAAAAAUAUUGAACAUCUUAAGUACUUAUCUAUUACAUGAAGGUUGGUGGUUCUAUUACAUGAAUGUUGGUGGUUCUAGUACAUGAAGGUUGAUGGUUGAAGAUGACCGUUGAAUCUUAAGUAUUUAGAUUUGAUUUUGUUUUCGUUAAACAAUGUUUCUCAACUUGGUUUUCGUUUUAUGAUUUUAUUUAUUUGGUUUUCUUUUUAUCAGUAAAUAUGUUUACUUUUCGUUUGAUUUUGAAUGAUCAUGGUUGAUGUUCCUUAUUUUUGAAUCGAUUUUACUUAAGUUUUGGUUACAAAAUAAGUACGAAUCAAGUAUUUUAAAACUGAAGAAGUGAUUUUACUCAUGUUUUGGUUAUAAAAUAGGUAAAAAUCAGGUACUUUUAAACCGAAAAACCGAUUGGGACCCGAACCCGAAAGUAUAUUGGAUUGUGUCGGUUCUUUGAAGAUUUACUAACCCCGACCCGAACCCGAUAGAAUCCGAACCGGUCCCGAACCGAACUUUCAUAUAAUCCGAAUGGGGCUGAUUUUGAUAAACCCGAAAAACCGAAACCCGAUUGGAUAAAACCGAAACCCGAUUGGGACCCCGAAUGCCCAGGCCUAGGAGAGAGCCUUCUACCAGCCAAUUUUUCAAAAGCUACAAGCGAGCCAAUAGAAGUUCACGAAGAUGGUUCAAAUGUACCUAUGGUUAGUAUAGAUCAAUUCGGGUCUAAUGAUUCAUCUCCUAAACCGACAUUUUUUCAAGACAACUCUGCUACAAUUGGUUCUAUCCUUACUACGCAUGUGGAAAUGAGUAACGCUCUAGAAAAAAUGAAUGAUGCUCAAGAUGAAAUGAGGUCAACUACAAGAGAAGCAGCCACUCUUCAAGAAGAAGAUCUUUCACUAGUUAAAGAGGUGCCUCUUUUACAGUCUAAGCAAACUUUUUCACCAUUAGUAGAGAAUUCCUCUACUCCAGUUAGCGAAAAGAUUAUGGAGGAAACUCCAUCCACAAUGGUCAUCACCGUGGUGAAUAACCCGGAAGAUGACGCUUUAAUUGAUCCACAUCUUCCUCUAUUCGACCGUUCACAAGAGUGUGGGGCUCACACUGUGAGUCCACAACUCACCUGAACACGACUAGGGGAGGGAGAUCGAUUAAACCAACUCAAAAAGUACAGGAAAUGGGAUGGACACUUGUCAAGGGAAGAGGAAAGCAUAUCUCGAGAGGUCGAGGUAACCGCAAAACGUAAGACGUGUGUUGGCUUUAUUUCAUUAUCUAGCUUAAUGAGCUUUUCUUGGAUUGCGAAUGUUGUAACUUGUAAUACUCUAUGGUUUCCAUCAAACUUGUAACAAACUAUAUAGCCUAAAUGCAAUAUCAGUUACCUUUAUUUUAAUGCAUCAAAUUAGUUCAGAAAAAAAAGAUGGAGAGCACAAUUCCAGAACUCAAACGUGAAGAGGAGCAAAAGUUUGCACAACAAUCAGCAACAAGAAGAAGAAAAAAUGACGCAAUCAAGAAGGAGCCUAUAUCAGGAACAAGUGUGAAGUGAAACAAAAGUUUGCAUCAAAUUUGAGAAAACCAACCAAAACAUUCUUUAAAGGAGUGAAUGCAGCAAAGAGGGAAAUAAUUGGUAGAACUGCAGAAGCAAGACUUUAAGGGCAGAAGACUGUUUAAUUAAACUGAGUUAAAUGAAACUAUCCAUAAACUGAAACUUUUAAGGAAACACGUAUUCAUUUCAGAACAUUCAUCAAUUCAUAGUAAAAAUUACUUGAGAUAAACCCAACAAGGUGUUGUAAGAUCAAACGUACUGUACCAAAACCCUAAUCUUGAUAAUUACAAUUCUGAGAAGGCACUGGACACAAACCUCAAGUAAAAGAAGUUAUCUCAGAGGAACAAGGGCAAAAGAGAGAACUCCUCGGCACCUGAAAGACCAAAGACUAAUGUUGUCUCCAUCUUUCCAACCACAAACCGAAGCGUAGUUCCAAGAACCGUGCAUCUCCCAUCUCUUGAAAAACACACCCCACUUUUUAAUGCCUUUAUCAACAAGAACCGCUCCCAAACCCCAUAUUUUCUCUGUUGCUGAUAUCUUCCUCGAUGAUUCUCGACUCAGCAGGCGUCAAGAAGUCGUUUCGGAUCAGUUUUGUGGAAAGGGAUCGAGAGACGGCUCUGGCUUGGUUUGACAUCUGUUUCAACCAGAGACUUCUUGACGCCGGCGUGUCUGAGACCUUUGCUUUCUUGAAACUACGCAAAGUUGUGUUGUGUUUACAACACUAAAUACUGGCUUGACAGAUUAUUAUAUUCAUUUAUUAUUGUUGCAUGUAUUAGUUAUGGUCUCUUGCUCAUGUCCUCUUUUCAAGGGGAGAGUAAGUCAGGAUGUCCAUGUUUCCCUUUACUUAAUUUGCUUCCGUUGGAACUUAUGGUUCUAAUUUCUUUAUUUAAAUGAGAAAAACCAAAGGAAAAAAUCAGCGAAGAAAAUUGAAGUAACUUGUGUUAUGUUUUAUUAGUUUGUUUUUCACAAACUCUCUUACCUUUGAGAAGGAGCCUUAAUUGGUAUCAAAGCAACUUGUAUUCAAAGGUAUCAAAAGAGCGAUUGGAUUCACUCCUAACAUUUUAGCAAUUCGAUCAGCUCUGAUCAAUGCAAAAUACUUCGGCAUCUCAAAAAUCUUGUAUAAAAUCAGAUUGUCAAGUGUUUGUCAAAGCAAGUAACUCAAAAGCUUUCUUCGGUUGAGAUCUUUGGAAUCGUCCGUGUCUCUUAUCAUGUUUCUUUCUAUCUCUGUCUUUUCUUUUGUCUUUAUUUCAAGAAAUCUGAACUCUGCAGCUGACUCCUCGAUAGCUAAAAGACUCUCUGUAAUGGCUACUCUGUAUCUACCACGUAGUUGGUAGCUUGAAUUAAUUUAUGUUGGUGUUAAAAAAAUCAAUGGCGUCAUGUAUCAAACCGACCACACAAAACGCCCGGGCAGUUCAGCCGGAUAAACUGGUUAAUCACCGGUUCCGGAUCCUAAAUGGUCUAAUCAGCCGGUUUAAUACCAGACCGGAGUUUAGAAGUUCCAUAUUUUGGGAUAUUUCCCGUUCCGUUAGUUUUGGAUCCGAAAUUGGGGAUGAACCGGGUCGGGUUAAAAUACGGGUUGGAACGAAAGGCCAAUGAAUCUUGUUUUCUCGAUAGGGGACGAGUUUCUUACGGCCAUUCAAAAACUUACAACCAAAGGCGCUUUAUCUAUCUUGCUUGUUCCACCAUUUAGCAAUAAUCGGAUAACGUCCUUCCUCAAUGGACGCCGCACUCUCCCCUCUCAAACCUCCAUACCCUAUUCAAUCCAAGCGACCUCCACCACCUCAGUCCUCUAACCACUCCCUCAAAUUCAGCUCCGCCACACUCCACUUACCUCCUCCUUCUCCUUCUCCUUCCUUCCCUCUCGAUUCCCUUCUCCACCACCUCGUCCACCUCUCUUCCUCUCCCCGACAUGCCACCUCACCCCCCGCCGCUCGUUUCCCUUCUCUCGAGGUCAAAUCGGCGAAACCCUUCUCGAGCCCCGUUCUGGGUAUCAACGGGUCUUUGAAGCUGCUGUGUAAGAAGGAAACUGUGCUGCUCAACUCCAUCUUGGCCCACCCUUUGUCUGAAUUGAGCAGCUUCUUCGAUUCCGCGAAGUCCGAGCUGAUUAGGACCGAUGUGUUCAGUCUCGUCAAGGCUCUGGACGAUUCCGGAAACUGGGAGAGAGCUGUUUUGCUGUUCGAAUGGUUAGUUUCGGCUUCGAAUUCAGGAGAUUUGAAGCUAGAUCAUUAUGUUAUAGAGAUUGUAGUUAGGAUCUUAGGUAGAGAGUCUCAGUACUCCGUUGCAGCUAAGCUGCUCGAUAAAAUUCCUCUGCAAGAAUACACGUUAGAUGUUCGCGCUUACACGACUAUUCUCUACGCUUAUUCGCGUACAGGGAAGUACGAAAGAGCGAUCAAUCUCUUCGAGAGGAUGAAAGAGAUGGGCCCUUCGCCUACUCUGGUGACUUACAAUGUGAUCCUCGAUGUUUUCGGGAGAAUGGGAAGGUCUUGGGGCAAGAUUGUACUAGUUCUAGACGAGAUUAGAAGCAAAGGGAUGAAGUUCGAUGAGUUCACUUGCAGCACUGUGCUGUCCGCUUGUGCGAGAGAGGGUUUGUUAAGAGAGGCGAAGGAGUUUUUCGCUGAGAUUAAGUCUAGUGGAUACGAGCCUGGGACUGUGACUUACAACGCGCUGUUGCAAGUUUAUGGUAAAGCGGGGGUUUACACGGAAGCGUUGAAGAUUUUGAAGGAGAUGGAGGAGAACAAUUGUCCCGCGGAUUCAGUGACGUACAAUGAGCUUGUUGCGGCUUAUGUUAGAGCUGGUUUCACCAAGGAAGCUGCUGGUGUCAUCGAGAUGAUGACGGGGAAAGGUGUGAUGCCGAACGCGAUCACUUAUACGACUGUGAUAGAUGCGUAUGGGAAGUCGGGGAAGGAGGAGGAGGCUUUGAAGCUGUUUUACAGCAUGAAGAGAGCUGGUUGUGUUCCGAACACUUGCACCUACAACGUGGUGCUUAGUAUGCUGGGGAAGAAAUCGAGAUCUAAUGAGAUGGUGAAGAUGUUAUGUGACAUGAAGAGUAGUGGAUGCUCCCCGAAUAGGGUCACUUGGAACACGAUGCUCGCUCUGUGUGGGAACAAGGGUAUGGAUAAGUACGUGAACCGAGUGUUCCGCGAGAUGAAGAGCUGCGGUUUCGAGCCUGAUAGGGACACGUUCAACACGCUGAUCAGUGCUUACGGGAGGUGUGGCUCGGAGGUGGACGCGUCGAAAAUGUUCGGGGAGAUGACGAGAGCGGGGUUCAACGCUUGCGUCACGACUUACAACGCCUUGCUUAACGCCUUGGCUAGACAAGGGGACUGGAGAUCGGGAGAGGGUGUGAUCUCCGACAUGAAAAGCAAAGGUUUCAAACCGACCGAGACGUCUUACUCGUUGAUGCUUCAGUGUUAUGCCAAGGGAGGGAACGUUCUAGGGAUAGAGAGAAUCGAGAAGGAGAUAGUCGAGGGGCAGAUCUUCCCGAGCUGGAUGCUUCUGAGAACUCUGCUUCUCGCAAACUUCAAAUGCAGAGCGCUUGCUGGGAUGGAGAGAGCCUUCGCGCUGUUUAAAAAGCACGGAUACAAACCCGACAUGGUGAUUUUCAACUCGAUGCUCUCCAUCUUCACAAGGAACAACAUGUACGACCAAGCGCACGAGAUCCUCCAGUCCAUCCGCGACCACGAGCUGACACCAGAUCUCGUAACCUACAACAGCCUCAUGGACAUGUACGUAAGACGUGGAGAGUGUUGGAAAGCCGAAGAGAUCCUCAAGAGUCUAGAGAAAUCAAAGCUGAGACCGGACCUUGUCUCUUACAACACGGUGAUCAAGGGGUUCUGCAGGAAAGGGCUGAUGCAAGAAGCGGUUAGGAUGCUGUCUGAGAUGACAGAGCGUGGGAUCAGACCGUGUAUCUUCACUUACAACACGUUUGUUUCGGGCUACACAGCGAUGGGGAUGUUUGGGGAGAUAGAGGAUGUGAUUGAGUGUAUGGGGAAGAAUAAGUGCAGGCCAAAUGAGUUGACGUAUAAAAUGGUUGUGGAUGGUUAUUGCAGAGGAGGGAGGUAUAGCGAAGCUAUGGAGUUUGUAUCAAAGAUUAAAACUCUUGAUGCUUACUUUGAUGAUCAGUCCAUCCAACGGCUAGCUGUUCGAGUUCGUGAGAAUUUAGAGUCCUAAAUCAAUUAUAUAUUUGUUUUUUUUUCUUUGUAGAUUUGUGAGUUUUUGUAUUAAAAUUUACAUUUUACUUGAAAUAAAAAUAAGCAACUUUGUUCAUGAAUGAUGAAAGGAAUAUAUACUAUGUUUUUACGAAUUUCACAUUUCUAUAAAUUAUUAAAAUAUAUUAUUUUUAUUUUUAAUAGAUAAUUAAUCAAACUAAUUAAAAAAACGAACGUUACUUACAUACAUUAUACACCAUUGGAUUAUACAUUGACUGAAAAAAUCCUUAAACUUUUGGUUUGGUUUGGUUUGGUUUAAUCUGAUUAUAUCUGAGUAUGAAAAGAAAAACAAAAGCUUGAACAAAAAAGAAAAGAAAAACAAAACCGAAUAAUUUAAAAGAAAAAGACUUUUUUUUAUUGGUCUCUUUGGUAAGUGUGAGAACUGAAAAGUACAUUUAUACUGGAAACACAGAGAUCGAACGAACCGUCUUCACUUUCCCUGUCUGCAUCUUGCACAACUAGCUAGUACAGCUUCUUCUUUCUCAGAAUCUUGUCUGCACAAUUUGAUUCCAUCUUCUCUCAAUCUCACCUCAAGAUGCCAAUCAACAAAGACCCAUCAACACCUCCGCCUGUCAUCGGAAAGAUCGGGCCUUACACUGUCUUCAUGACUCCUCCGGCGACUCCAAAACCACCUGAGUCUCCUGCCGCCGUGUCUCAGAAGGCUAUCCUUCAACCGCCGGUUCUUCCUCCGCCGCAGCAGUUUAAAUCGGUGGCUUCGUCCUCUGAACAAGACAGCUCAGUUUUGGGUUUCCUCAAAAACGCCGCCACAAAGGUUCAAAAUGGUAAGGAUCGCGACAAAAAAAGUUUCUUCAUUUUCGGAUCUUGAGGUCUGAUUGAUUGAUCAAUAAACUGAUCUAAAGAUUAUAUAUUUAGAAAGUAGAAUUGAGGACAAAAAAAAGAAUUGUAACUUUGACAUUCUUGUUUGUUUAAUGGUUGCCACAGCACACUCAAGCGUGGAUGAUCACUUGGUGAGAUGGUUUGGGUUAAACCAAUCUAAGUACCAGUGGGCUUUGGACGAGUAUUACCAAGACAAAGGAUCUGUAAGUGUUCUUUUUAGUCUUUCAUAGAUUAGCGUUUGUUGUUUCCUUUGGAUUCCUAACUUGUUAUGCAUAAUGCAUUGGUAGUCAAACGUGUCUUUGAUUGGUUUUGGGCUUACUCUACUUUAGUCAUUGAUUUAUGGCCUAUUUAGGUAGAAAUACAAAUUGGAGAAGGUAAUUGCAUAAGUGUGCAUAUUUUAUAAAUAAUUGGCGAACCAUGUUAAUUUUUACAUGAGUUGCCAAUUCUCUUCUUUAGCUACACCUUCUUCGUAACGUAUGGUUACCUGCUACCGGGGUUGCUGGCAAAAAAAAUAAUUUUUAUUGAAAACAUAAACCGAAUACAUUCAUGAGAAAUUGGGACUCCUAUACAAACAUAACUGACUAUUUUGCAGCUAUGGAAAAUUGACUUAAUCGAUGAUGUAUUUUUUUUUAAUGGCAAUUCUGCCCCUACUCCGUAAUUAAACACUUACGUUUUUACACAUAUAUAAACACUCUGUAUAUAUAUAUUACGUACGCGUGAGAAAGCUUGUCAAGACAAACACGAUAACCGAUUAUAUGCAUUUAAUAUAAACCGUAACUUCUCCUUUCUCUCUCAAAAUCACUGUUCACUCAUCUUCCCUUUUCAUCUUGUUUUCUCUAGAAACCUCAUAGAUCAUGAUCUCCAAGUUCUUCCGAAUUAAGGUUUCCAAUCACAUCUGUAACAGUCACAUUUCGACUUCCUGAUCAACGAACCUUCUUGUUUACUCCGCUGACCAUUUUAUCUAGUUUCCUCGCAAAACAUCACCGGCAUCUCUAUCAAUCCCUUUGGUUUCUCCGUAGCGUCGUUUCCUUUUUCUCACAAUCUCCUCGAGUUCUCACCUCCUUGAUAUUUCUGCAACCGACGUUUGACGGGUCCUCUAAUCGGUCGUUCCUUCCUCGUUAGUCUGAUUUUACGAUGGUAAGCUUUGUCCUACCUUUUAUAAUUUGAAUUGAAGAAAUUUCCAAUAUAAGGUCUAACAAAUGCUUCUGGGUUUAUUAUUAAUUUUUUUUUUGGAACAUUACUACUGGGUUUAUUCCUCUGCUUUGUUUUCUGUUCGUCUUCAGUCUCCUAGGAAUCUACACCUUUUGCUUAGUUUUUUGUGGAUUUUGUUUCAGAUAAAUAUUUUUUUCAUUUCUGUCUGAUGUUUUAUUUGAUCAGGUCUCUGAAGAUGUGUUAAUCUCUGGAACCAUCAUUCAAAUUCUCAAUCACGUACAUCCCCAAAAGCACCGCCGCGAAGUACGUCUUUUACGAGAAUCCAAGGAACAUCGUGUGUGGACUUCUCCGGACAGUGGGAAAGAGCUCUGCCGCAAAAAUAGUGCUUUUCAACAUCCCUUUAGUAACUUUUGUGAUCAAGAUUCUUUCUUUUCUUCUCUUUUUUUUGAGCAAAAAUAUUGAGCAUGUGAUGGUUCUAUCUCUGAAGGGUUUCAUUGCUUUGCAAUUUUGGAGCAGAGGAGUUUCAACGAGCUUCUUCUUAUCAUGUUUUUUUUGUUGCCAAGGAUGUUUGGCUUCCUGUGAUAUAUGUGAAGAUCUUCUGAAGUAAAACAUGCAUCUUUUGGAACAUGAGUUUUGCCAUUUCAAACUAAAGACAGUCAAUUGUUCAAAUAGCCAUAUAACAAAAAAAUUAAAACCAGCUAAAAACAUUGAGUGUCCGGUUAUGUCGGAGGAUAACCUUGCUAACUUAUGAUUGAUGUUCUCAAAAAGUUUAACCAUUCACCGAUCGUACAUGGACUAUUUUAAAUUAUAUAUUUUUAUAAAAUAAAUUAUUCUUCAAGUGUCCAAAUAGCCGGUAAACAUAGCUAUUUGUUAGUAAAUAACUGUUUAUAUAUAUUGUUGACCGGCUAAACAAACGAAUGUUAUCCGGCUAAACUAACAAAUAUAUUACAUAAAAAGAUUUGAUUUGAAUACGUUAAAAUAUAUUUGUUAGCUGGCUAAACAAACGAAUGUUAGCCGGCUAAACUAACAAAUACCUAAACAUAUUAUAUAUGUUAGCCGACUAAACUAACAAAUAUACUGCGUGAAAAUAUUUGAUUCAAAUACAUAAAAAUACAUUUGUUAGCCGGCUAAACUAACUAAUGUUAAUGAAUGUUAGCCCGCUAAAUUAACAAACAGGUAAACAUUAAUAAUUCAUAUUAGCUGGCUAAUUAUUAUAUUAUCUUUGUGCGAUGAACAGUCUCUAUGGGGACUAAGGUCUUCUUGUUACGCCGUCCCUGUGAAGAUUCUUGUGUCGACGAGCUUGUCUCGGGGAUGGCUGUUCUCCGGGAAAUCUCCCUCUUAGACGCUGAAGCUCUUCUUGGCCGGUAGACCUUAGGGUUUGUGCGCGGUGCUGUAGGAUGUGUGUGACGGCAAGGCAGCAGCUGAACUUGGCAGAGGGAGUUUGAGAGUCGGGUCUCUUGUAGAUUUCGGCGGUCGGGGCGCGAGGCAACUCUAGGGAUGGCUGUUUUGGUGAAGACUAAUCGUGGAUGGAUCGAUGUACGGUUUCAAACACACCGGCUGCCGAGAAGCUGCGAGGUCAUCGGAUCCAAUACCCAUUUGCGUUCGUCGGGGAUGGGGCAAUAGCUCCUCUGUCUUUUUUCCCGGGCUAUAAUCUCCUCUCUUUAGAUUUUGAUCAAGAUUUUGUUGUGUUUAUGCUUGUUCAUUUUUGCUGAAUCCGGUUGUCUAGGGUUCUGACAUUUCUUCGAUAUCAGAAUGUAUGUUUGUGCCGACGUUCCUUUAUCGGGAAAGAAUUAAUUUAUUUUUAUUUUAUUUAUUUUAAAAAGAGAAUGAGAGAGAUAUAAGUGGUAGGGUUAGCAGUGUAUUUUCACACCUAACAAUGUUGGGCUCCACCACUCUUUUCCAUUCUUGCAAAUUUCAUUAUUAUUGUAUAUUUUCUAUGCAAAUCGCUCUACAUUCAUUUAAAAUUAUGAUAUAAGAUAUUGCAACCGGAUGUAACUCUAACAAUUGAAGAGAGAAGAGUUGUGAAAUAUUUUACAAAUUGAGAGCUCUACCAGCGGUGGAAGCAACGCAAUUAAGAAAACCAAAGAGAUGAAACGAAGGCUCCGAGUUAGAAGCUAGAACUAUGCUGGAGACGACGGGAAGCAGAGCAUGUGCGUCAUGGUCAAGAAGAUCGGGUAGCGGAAGCCGUAGUAGAAGAGGAGGUACUUGUUCAGGAGGAGGACUCCUAUGUUGGAACCGAACCAGGCGGCGAUAAUCGUCGCCGUGAGGACGGAGGGAGAUACCGUGGGGGAGGAGAGGAAGAAGGGUUUUCCAUUGGAGGAGGCGGAGGAGUGUGUUGGUGUUCCGGGGAUGUCGAUGACUGUUGGUGUGGUGGUGGCGGCGGUGUCGAACCUCGGGUUGCUCAUCCGCCGCGUUGUCCAUGAUUGAGUUUCCACCAUUUUGGUUAGAGAGAGUUUUUUUUUUCUUUGUCUGAGAUUUGAGAGUGUGGUGGUCGCAAGUAGAAGAAAGAGGGAGAUAAAUGUAUUAUUGGACAGGGGAAAUUUAGAUUCAGCUGUAAACAUGUUGAGUGAUAAGGACAUUUUAGGUAUUACCUCAAAUUGCACAGUUUCUUUACCAUAUAUCCAAUUUAUUUCCAUAAUUUUGACAUCUAGUGCAAAAUCCCUUGAUUUAUUGUAUAUGUUACUCAAAAGUCAAAAGCAUAUUUGUGUGGUUAAGAUUCAUCUUUUAUCUUCUUUUGCACAUAAACGCAGGAAGGGAAGUGCGUGAAAGCAGAGGAGAUGCCAGGGAAAGUACAAAGCGUAUAAGCAACCAUACGCUUGAGUCUUUAUGAAAGUCAUCUUGGAUCAUUGAAUUUGUUUAACCUUGGAGAUCUCUUGGCAUAUUUGAGAAACUAUUGUAGUUCUUCAUUUGGUGUUGUGAGUUUAUAAUAUAUAUAUAUAUAUAUAUAUGAUGUCUCAAUUCAAAACAGUCUAGCAAGCAAAUAUUUACUAAGUUGGAACCAAAACAAGGAUCUUACAUUGUCACCACUGGUUUAUAGAAAAAAGCAAUGCUAGGCAAAAAAUACUUGACCCGAAUCUGACCAUAAGAAAAACCGCUCAAUCUGAAUCUGAAUCCUACAGUAAAGUCGAUCAUGUCUUAUUCAGUGAGAAUUAGGUUAGGUACUUAGGUAUGGGUAAAAACUAAAAAGUGAUCUAAUCUUGUUCAAAACGAAAUAUCCGAAGUUAACUAAAUUCGAUAACUUUCUUUUUACUGAAGUUUAAGUAAUUCAUAUACUUUUGAGUGUUUUAGAAAGGUUAAAAUAGUUCUUAUACCGGACGUAUAAAUUUUGGAUACUAUUGAGUAGUUUAUAUAGUUUGACCCUAUAAAUCAAUAACUAUUUUAGAUAUUUAUGAAUAUAAUCUCUUAAACUUAUGAUGAGAUGCCAAUUAAAGAGUGUUUAUAAAACAUUAGGUGUCACUCUCUUAAGAGAAGUAACAAUUUUAUUUAUAUAGAUAGCAAUAUAGUAUUGGGAAUGUGAGUCUUGAAUUCCCUUGCAACUAGACUGUAUUGGGAAUGCAUUUACAUUGAUCAACAGAUCCAGAAGUGCCUUGACAAUAGGAGCUUUUUUUCAAGAGUCAAACAAACAAGAAGCCAAUCUUCACUAAAGCCAGUUAUAUAUAUCAUGUCAGCAAUUUCAGAAAGAAGGUUUAGAUACUCAAUAGUGAAGCUUAAAUAUUUGUAUGAUGCUCUUACCAUCACCAAUAAAUCCUUCAUCACAUUCAAAAACAUGGUUGAUAAGAACUCUUCUCUCAAGAAGCAUAUAUCAUCCGCUUUCUUUCCAUCUUCUACUGCCACAUUCAUAACUAUCACACUUUUAAGGAUCCUCUUGACAAGCUAUUCAGCUAGUGUAAACGUUCUCUUUGUUUUACAUCCGCUCAAACGCCAUAUUAAUAAACAGAGAAAGAACUUGUUGGAUAUGACCAUGAUGAUAACAACAAGCGGGGAUAGCUCAGUUGGGAGAGCGUCAGACUGAAGAUCUGAAGGUCGCGUGUUCGAUCCACGCUCACCGCACAUUACUUUUUUUUUCCAAAAACAAUCUUUGAAUGAUUACAUUUCUCAAUCUUUUUGGUUGACAAAAAAAACAUUUCUCCAUCUUUUUAAAACGUAUUGGGACUUUAGAUAAAGAUACAAAAAGGUUUAAGAACUUCUACGGAUUCAUUAUGUGUAGUCUUGGACAUUCGGAUCUUUGGGUCGAGUCAGAUUGUCUUAGACAUUUGGACUCGACUAAGUACUUCAAUAACUUUUGGUUCGGGUUUAGCCGGUUUCUAUCAGAUCUGGGUCGGUCUGAGUCUAUAAUUAAAAUAUAUGUAAAAUACUUAAAAUUUUGGGUCCAUAGCAGAUUCAGAUCAAGUUUGGGUAUUUAGGAUUCAGAAGACCAAAAUAUCUGAAUUCCAUAAAAAAUGGCCGAAAUCCUUCAUAUUUAUUUUAAAUUUUGUAAAAUAGCCAAAAAUAAUUUGUAAUAAUUGAAAACUAAACAUUUUUUAAAUUCUAAAUUUGACAUAUAAAGUUUCAUAUUACUUGAAAAUGUUACAAAAACAAUAAUGAAGAUUGCCAAUAAAAAAGACAUUUCAACUAAAUUAUAAAGUAAAAUAUAUAAAACUAAAAAAAUGUAUGUCGGGUAUGAACAAGUUUUUAUCGGUCUAUUAAGGUCAGUUUUGUAUGUCCGGGUAAAAUGUCCCUGCCUAGUUAUGUGGACCGCUCUUUCGCUCUUUUUAAAGUCAUGUAGUGAAUUUGGUGGUUUCCCAUAUGGCCGAGACGUAGGGUUUACUUACACACACACUAUGUGAUCAGAACUUGUAAAACUCCUAGAGCGGCCCACAGAUUCUCUCUAGUGUUUUCAUUCACAUAUUUAAGUGCAAUGCGAUCUACUUUGUCCAAAAAGAGCAAAACAACCCAUUCAUCAAAUUCUGUUGUUUACAUGAUAAUUUGUUCUAAAUAAAUAUUCUUCCAAUCAAUGCCGCUGCUUCAUACAGAAUCCUUGUCACCGCUUUCUUGAUAUGCAAUCAGAGAAUGUGUCGACGAGCUGCUCAGCUAAAGCUACUGAAUCGUCCCCGAAAGCAUCAAUGAAUGUCUUCACAACGUUCAUCUCCUGAGCACUGGCUCUUAAGCUAUACCAAGUCAGGAACUCCUGUCUGAAACUCUUAUCAACAUAACCUGAACACUCAAGCUGUCUCAUAAUCUUCACGCAAUCCUCCAGCCCAAACCCGCAGCUUGUUGAACUCUUACCAUUGACCACCUUCUCUGAAACAGUUUCUUCUUCUUCUUCUUGAAGGGUUCUUGUAGAGACUUUGGUUUCAUCUACGCUGGACUGUUUGCCGCCUCUAAGGGAAACAACUUUGAAGCAACACUCUGGUGUAUCUUGGAGAGAUUUCAAAGCAGAAGAGCAAAGAUCCUUCACUUUUGACGCUGAGCCAAGCCUGUUUACGUUUCCUCUACACAUUGCCGAUGGAAGAUCAGUAAGAGGACCACCACACAACUCAGUUUCUAAACUCAUCACAGCUUCCUCCACGGUCUCAGAAAGCUUUAUGUACUUCUCCGUGCCCUUGAGAAGCUUCUGAGCCAAUACAAGACGGUUACAAAGCACGUCAACGCUUCUGGUUUCCUUUGCAAUCAACAGUUGCUUCUUCCAACACCUAAGAAAGAAAAAUAAAAUAAAGAUCUGUCCAAACUGAACUCAAGAAGAUUGAUUGGUUGAGAUUUUUACUCAAGCAAGCUGUUUGUUUUGCCACAGGAGACACAGUAGAAGCAUCCAUCAACGUCACUACUUGGCUUGAGACCUGAUUUUUCAUUCUUGAAAGCACAAUCCAGAUGGCAAGACAAGCCACAAGAAUCACCGGGGAAGGGAGGAUCAGAACCGCAGGUUAACCAGAGACUAGGAUCUUUAUUGUCAUCAUACUUGUGGCAGACACAACAAGAACACCUUUGACAGAACAAGUCUUCUUGUCUCAGCAUAGCUUGACAAGCCAAGUUCUUACAGUAGAUACCGCCUUUAGCUUUAUUAACCGAUUCAGCGCUCACAUAGCGAGUAGGAGUAGCGUUCUUCCUUUGUCUUUUUGAGUUUCUCUUAGUUGUUUUUGUUGUUGUUGUUGAUGAGUCUCUCUUCCUGUCUUCUUGAUCUCCUCCAGAGUUUCCUUUAAUAGGCGUUGGAGCUUUUUUCUCUGACACAGUUUUCAAGAGGCUGUUGAUGAGCUGAGCUUUCGUCAAGUUCUUGUACUUUCUUUCUUUCCCUAACUCUGCGCAUAAGACCUGUCGAAUCUCUUCAUGGGUCCACACCUGCAAGGCUUCGAAGGCUAAAUCCGAAUCUUUUGAGAGUUCAUGAACAAGCUUUCUCUUUUCAUCAACGCUCAUUUUUCUGCCUUUCAUGGAGUCACCUGCAGAGCUCAUACAUGAUGAAAAAGGAUGUAAAUUUUACAUGUUUUAUAAAGACUGAACACUGUUUCUUCAUGAUAAGAAACCACAUUCAUUACUAAGUUCCAAGAACAUGUACAUAUAUAUACAAAGAAAGUUUCAUCCUUUAUGGUACCAUCCUUCAUAAAACUUAGGAAAAGAUUAGGAAUCCAUCAUCUUCAAGAGUUAAAAACCAAAAAAGUUUCAAACUUUCAAUUCCAUUCGAGUUAAAACUAACGCAGAAACAUCAAUCAUCUUAAAACCCACUAAGCACACAUUACGACAAAUCUUGCCAAGUUCUUGUUUUUCUUUUCUUGCAAGAAGUAAGAAACCUAAAGAGGACGUACCGUCGAGAGAAGAGUCCAUGACAACAGAGAUAGAACAGGAGGUACCAACCAGAAUACUCAAAACCUGCAAAUGGAAGAAAGAAAAUGAGAUUAGAGAGAGUGAGAUCGUUCGUGCAAGAGGAAGCGAAGAAGAGGAACAAGAGAUGUUAUUCCACCAUACAAUAGAAUCAAAACGGUCGUCCUUGGGAAGAUUCAGCUGAAGCAGAGGAGAGACCGGAGAAGAGGAGAAAGAGACUACUUAUAGUAUGGGGCCCAACAUUUAGUUUGCAUGUCCAUUGUAUUCUUUUUUUUAAAGAUAAUGAAAUUCAAUACCAGAUAUAUUUGGUCUAAUUAUUCCACAGAAAAUAAAUUUUACUCGUGAAUACCUUCGGAAAUUUGGAUAUUUGCGGUUUUAAAAUAAAACUUUGAAGGUACUUCGGAUAGAUGAAAUAUUUGUAUAAAACUUUGAAGGUACUUCGGAUAGAUGAAAUAUUUGUAAUAUUUGGUUCAAUCAGUUAUCCAUAUAGAUCUUAAAAAAUCUAGAUAUAUGUAAUUUAUAAAUUAAAUCAAAUAUUAAAGUUAAUAUACAUUAAAAAUAACUAAAAUCACAACUAUUGAUUUAAAAAAAUUAAUAUGCAAUCCAAUAAAUGCAUACAUAUGUAUAUUAUAAAUUUAUUUUCUUAGGUAUGCAAGUUUUACAACAUCUUUAUUCACUAACUUCAUUCUUUAGUUGAAAGAUAUAUAAUGAAUACUUUUUCAUUAUGUAUAAGAUUUCUAGUUAUAUUUUAUAAUUUUUAAUUUAUAUAUAUUUAAUACUACAAAACAAAUAUUAGAUUAAAAAUAUAGAUUAGUAUCUGAUAUCCAAAAAUUAAGGUAAUAAAUAAAAACUAAAAAAAAAAUACUAAUCUAGACAAUGUAAAACUGAUAAUAAAUAUUUUUAAUGUGUCCUAAUCAUUUUUAACCAUGACAAUAAAUUUGGUGUAGAAAUUAUACAAAAUUUUACACCAGAACUAAUAUUAUAUACUUUUUAAAUUUUUAAUUGAAUAAUUUUAAGGGCAAUUGUCAGUAAUAGCAACUUUUGAAGUUUAUGUCUAAAAAAUAGCACUAGAAGGAGAAAAGUCACAAAAAUGACAUUCAUUAAAGGGUAAAAUAUCCCUAAUACCCUUGGUUUACAAUUUUUUUUUUCAAAAUUUUUUUUUUUUUAUUUUUUUUUCAAAUUUUCUUUUUAUAAUUUAAAAAUACUUUUAAAACUGUUUUUAAAAUUUUUAUUUUUUAUUUUAAUAUUUUUUUUUAUAAAAUUUUAAACCCUAAUUCCAAAACCCCACCCCUUAACUCUAAACCCUAAGGUUUGGAUUAAUUAAAUCAAGGGGUAUAAAUGUAUAUUUACCUCUUUAAUGAAACCUAUUUUUGUGACUUUGAACCUUGAGUGCUACUUUGGAACAUAAACUUAGUUUGGUGCUAGUCUUUUUCUCUAAUUUUAAUUAUUUGAUGGAUAAAUUAAAGUAUAUACUUAUCUGGUUGUUAAAAUUUUUUGUAAUUAAUUUUUCUAUAAAAAUACUAGUUUCAAUAAAAAUAUGAAAUGUUGGGCCCUGCUCUCCGGACCGAUAUCAAUGUAAUGGACACUGGGCUAUGAAAUUGUUGCCGACAAAAAAACAAAUACCUCAUUGUUUAAUCAAAAAUCUUAAGACAUGGCCUAAAACAGCUUAGUUUUAUCAUUGUUCCUCGAGUUCAAUGAAAAUAAUAUGACAAGCAAGUAGCACAACGACACACAACAGAGAGAAUCAACAACAGAAUUACAACAUGUUUUUAGUAUCUUGAAAACUGAGAUUACAUAUAAGCACAAGCAAGGAAGAGAGAAGAAUAUCUUACUGUACAAAUGAAGAAGCUCCACAAGAAGAAGAAACCAACACAAAAGACUUUACUUCUUCUGGGAAACUGUUAUAUCAACCAUCAUAAAGAAACUCUCAGACUAUGUUUCUUCCUUCUUUUCCUGGAACCUUAUUGGUCGUCAUCGAGUUCAACAAUCUGCGCACGUCUCUGAGCAGCUUUCCUUCUGAUGAAGAAGCCCCAUCUCAUAGCUGCUUUGAUCUUUAGCCAUCCAACAACAGGCUUACCCGGCUGCGAACGGUCUUCUCCAUAACCAUCCAUUGAAGACUGACCAAAAGAUUGGAACCCUAACCCGUCUUCCCCCAUGUUCAUAGGAGUUUGCGGGCCACCACCACCACCACCACCACCGCUCAUGCAAAAGAGUCUCAACAGCUGCUGCAUAUCAUCGUUCUCCAGCAUUUCAUUACUUCUUGCCCUUAUCUCCUCCUCUGAUAAAAACCCAUCACCUCCUCCUCUGUUCCCUGUGUUUGACCAAUCAUUAAAAUGGUUGAUCUCAGGAGGAGGCUGAACCAAGUGCUGGUUUUGCGAUCCUGUUGUUUGACCUAGGGCCAGUCUCUCACCGCCAUUGCUAUUGAUCAUGAUUUGUGAUUCAUGAGUGUUGUUAAUCAGCUGGUCUUGCGGUGGUGCAUAUGAACUGUUUCCAAAGUGCAUGUAAGAAGUAGUAUCAGCUAGCUGAGACUGAGCCGGGAAGCUUGUACCCUGACUCUGGCUGUACACUGAUGCUGAAAAAGAAAAAAUGAAUGACACUGUAACUUUGGUUUGACACCAAAAGAAAAAUAAUUUUAUUUUAUGAAUAAAGGUUCGGGACGAAGCCCUAUUAGUUUCGUCCCAGCGGUCACUCGAACUAGGGACGUCUGACACAAUGGUCAUGGUCCUGAGCUAAUGACCCUUUGGUCAAAAAAAGAAAAGAAAAAAAAAGAUUAGUGGCUAAUGGAUCUCUACCUUCACCAGAAUAAGAUGUAGAGGGUUGGCUUGGAACAGAAACUGGCAUAGAGUAAUCCAAAGCAUCCACUUUGUUAACUUGAUUGAAGUUCAUAAGUGACUUGCUGUCAUACUCAAUAACUUGAUCCCAGUUUUCAUAUGCUUUCCUCACCAAUCCAUCCACAUAAACCUAAGUUAUAUAUCUCAACAUGUUACUAUUUACCAAGUAUAGGAUAGAAGAACAAGUGCUCAAACACAAACCUUUUGGCUGUCAGAAAGAGAAUCAGCAGGAUAAUACUGCUUCCCAGAGAUGAGACCACUAAAUUCAUAAAUAUUGUUGAAAACAACACCAACCGAGUCCUCAGGAUAGUACACAUAAAGCAUUUCACUCAAGACGCAUGUCUUUGAAUGCUCAGCAAGUGUCUCCCACAUCCUAUUUGACAUCCCACUCCCAAGAAUCUGAAAAAGAUAGUAAUAAUCAUCAUCAUGAUAAAUACUUCAAACAUCUUUGAUAAGAUAAUGCACUUACAGUCCUUAGCUUCUGAGCAUCCUUGACCAUAAGACGCAAGAACUCUUUAACAUUGUAGAUCCCUGCUUUGUUCAGUUUCUUAUGGAACGCUCCGUCCUUUCCAAUCUUCUCCAACCUCCAUACCUCAUCAUCCAACGCAGGUGGAUAAUGUUUCUUGUACACUGUACAUGAAUAAACCAAACCAUUAGGCCAAAAACAAGAAUGGUCUUUUGCCUCAAUGUGAAAGAAAGAACUUACACUCUCCACGAUGGUCCUUGACUGUAAAAGCUUCCGUCUUCGCCUCACGCACACGCAUCCCCUCACAGUAACCAGAAGAAACCUUCAACCCCAGCCUAAACUUUCUGCACCUUAUCCAACUCGAGUUAUCCGUAAAGAUAAGCUCACCUAACGUCCCCACGCCUUCUUUCAACGUCACCUGCACGUCACCGGUCAAAAGAGGCCUCUUCCCUUGACGCUCUUUCACCAAAUGACUUUCGAACUCUUCUUCACUCCAGCCUUCAUCGUCUUCGUUGUUGAAAUCACCGUCGAGCACAACGACAUCGAGCUUAGCAGAAGCUUCGGGUCCUGUUGUCAGUACACGUCCUGUUGUGGAAUCUAGAAGUACAACGUGGAUGGCGGCGCCUUGCUCCCCUUCUAUCUUCCCUCCGGUGAACAAAGGAACAGACAAUCUAGACCUGAACUGUAGCUGUAAGUUUCUUCCACCAAUGCCUUCGAUACGUUUAGGAGAAGACCUGUAAAACUCAAAUCAUUACUCUCUAACCAUUUUCCCUUAGAAAUGUCAUGUGUUUAUUACCUCUCACUAACUCUUGCAGGGCCUAGUUUCGCCAAUGCUCGCUCCACCUCUUCACUUACCUGUUUGACAAGAGAGGCUCAAUAGACACCACAAAUCAACAAAAGACAUGAGAAAAGGCUUACCACUCGGCGAAGAAUGGGUUCCAAAGAAGAGCAAAGCCUCUGUAAACUAUCCAUCUUCAGGGCUUCCACAAUCACACUGAAAGAAUCAUACACAGUUAUAAAGGCACUACCGUUUCAAUCAAUUUAGAAACAAAACAAAGUAAAGGGUUUGUAACUGAUACAAGUAUGAACAUAGAUUACCUUGCAAGAGCUGGCCUUUUACGCUCAGGCUGCUGAUUGUUAUUAUCAUCUUCUUCCUCAAGUUUUCUCUUUUCUCUCAUACUAUUAGUCCUCUCCAUAUACCUCGUAUGCAUUUUUCUCCUCAGCUAAAAUCUCCAAAAGCUAUCGAUCUGUAAGAUUGAGACAAGCAAAGACACUUCACCAAUCUCAAACCCAAUGAUAAGGAAUCACAAAGCUCUCGAUUCUCCCCUCCAAAUCCAACAAUUACCACAGCAAAUCAAACCUAGAUUUUCACUUGAGCUUCUUCACAAACGUUAAGAGAGAGAAACUGGAAUUCGAUUUGAAGGAGAGAGAAAAAAAUUACCUAAGAAAUGGUGUUUGGUUUUGGAUAGAGAGAGAGAGAAGAUCCGAAGCUGUGUUGUGUCGUAAUUAAUUUCUUCAACCACUUGUCUUGGUCUGUCAUUAGUCGAGUGCUUUGACUGGUUUUAGUAAAUUUAAGAUGAGUAUCCGGUGCGGGCGAGACCACCGUAGUCUUGUAUUGCCACCACUUUAUUGUUUGUUUAAUGGUAGUAGAGUAGACAUUGUUGGCCCGGCGGCUACUGUAUGUAUUUUUAGCACAUGCUACAUUCUAAAGUUGAGAAUAUAAAGUUUAUUGGGACUUUGGAGUUUGUAUUCAAGACUAAUUAUUUGAUUUUUGUAUACGAUUAUAAUAAGUGCAAAAGUACAAAACACAUCACUGUAUGACCGGAGAUAAGAUUCGAUGUGGUUUUAUAAUGUAGAUUACAUGAAUUAAAAGAUCUAAUUGCAAUGGUAAACGAUUAGGUUCACAGAUUUCUUUAUUUCUAUGUUAACUUUACACAACACCUUUAAACGCUAACCAUCACUAUUUUUUCACAUAUUAUUCUAAUUGGUGUAGCUAACUUUAGUCUUGCUAAGGUUUUACGGUACUGGCAUCAAUUUAAUUUAAAGUACAGACCGCACUUUAUACUGAUUGUAAUAUUAUAAUUUUCUAUGCUAUUUAUAGUUUUGGGUUAUAGGCGGUUAACAAACAUAAAAUUAUACAAAUCAAGACACCAUAUUUUAAUUUAAAUCAAACUGGUUAUUUCUGUCUGAAAAAAAGUUGCAACAAAUAUCGUUUUCAAUAAACUGUAAUAUAAAAACUCCAGUUUUUUUUUGAAAACCUAUGACAAUAUUACGUCCAUAAGAUUCAACCAAGUUCCAUAAUUUUUCAAACUUGUCACUACAUUGCAAUAUUACACGAUCAUGAAGAGAAGAAGGCAUUAUCAGUUAACUGAAGAAGAACUUAACUCAACAUAUAUUUAGCAAAAGAUUUGGAGAUAGUAAAAACCGAUCCACUAAUCCUCGAGAUAGUUUGUUGAGAACAGACAUUACUUUCCCCUGUCAACAUAGAAAUGGAUGAUUGUGUUUUCAGUUUCUUGAACAAGUUGCUACAUGAAAAAAAAAGAGAAAGGACAAAGUAGAGAUUGUGUUAACUUACGUGUUCAUCAUCAGAGUUAUGUUGUCUCCUUUGAGUAGAAUCCUUCCUGCAAAUAGUCAUUUACAUUCGAGUUACUGAAACAAAAGCAAACAAAUCAAAUUAGAGACUUGUUGUCAAAGAGUGAGUCCUCACCAAGUGGUUUCCUGGUGUUCUUCUUGAUGCUCACUUCUUCAGCUUCAUCCAACACUAGGUUCAUGUACUCGUCAAAACCCUGUUGAAAAGGAGAGAAAUUGAAACAAGGAAUCAACCAGAAUGUCAUGAUCUCAAAUUUGUCCGAACUAACAUAGAUAUGUGGGAAAAAAAGUAUAGCGAUACAAAAGUGAAAAGGAACAUCUAAAGUCAGGUAUGUUUAAGAUUUAAACCAAUGAGGAUGCCGACAUCAUUUAUCUCAAGUUUCUCUUAACUAGCACAGAGUCAAUUUAAGAAAGGGUUGAAUUUCUAUAACUCAGAAUAAUAAAAGUAUAGGAAUAAAAAAUGAUUUCAAAGGGAUAUACAAAAUCAAUUACGCAACUCAAUGUUUUAAACCAAUGAGAAUGAUAUAAUCACAAAUCUAAAGACACCUCGAAAGAAAGAAAAAUAACACUCCGAAGAAAACUUUAGCCUUAACCCGAGAAGAAGUGAAACGAGGAACAUACAAAGUAGACAACUCCAAGUUUUAGGAGAAUGAGAAUGACAAUCUUAAGUUUCUCUGAAUGAGCACAUAGUCUAAAAAAAGAUUCAGUCUUUAACUCAAGAGAAUAAAACACUGUAUCCAAGUGAAAGUAGGCAACUACAUAAUCAAGUAAUAACAAUGACACAAUCAUCUAUGUCACAUUUCUCUGAAUUAACACAGAAUCAACCCUAAAGAAUAGCUUCAUUUAUAACUCGAGAAGAAUCAAAGGAAAGCAAUACAAAUUGAAACAAGGAACAUCCAAAGUCAAGUAAGCAAUGACACAAUCAAAUUUUUUUUUUUUUUUUUGAAAGAAACACAAUCAAAAUUCUAAAAACACUCGGAAGAAACUUCAACCUUUUUUUUUGGUAAAAAGAAAACUUUAACCUUAAACCAACCAAGAAGAAGUGAAACGAGGAACAUAAAAAGUAGACAACUCCAAGUUUGAAGGGAAUGAGAAUGACAAUCAACAUCUUAAGUUUCUCUGAAAGAGCACAUAGUCCAAGAAAAGAUUCAAUCUUUAACUCUGAGAAGAAUCAAAUGAUAGCAAAAUACUGUAUCCAAGCGAAAGCAGGCAACACACUCCUGAAGAAUCAACCCUAAAGAACAGAUUAAGUUAUAACUUGAUUAGAAUCAAAGGAUAUCAAUAAAAAUUUGCAACAAGGUAUACAUUAUUCAAAACUCGAUUUUCAAACAAACUAAACGCGAUGAAUCUCAUAAAUUCAUAGCUCCAUUACUAACAAAUUCAACAAGCAAAGUGAAAACUUACAGUAAUCCUUCCUUCAAUCCUCAGAUCUUUCUGCUCAAAUAGCCAAAUCUGGAUCCUAGCUUUCUGCAUCAUUUAACGAAACCACGAAUCAGAACCACGCAAAUCAAUGCUUCUCCAAGUAAAGCAAAAGUCAAGAAGGAGCUUACACUUUGAAGAAACCUAAAAAUCAAGUUCUGGAUCCGCCGCCGGAAAACAAAGCGAAACUCAGUCAAUUAACAGACAGAAAGUAAAUCAAAAUCGAAAUCAAAGAGAGAGAAGAGUAACGUACGAUAGGUUGGGUCAUAAUCCUCUGAACUUUGGUGCUCGCCAUCGCUGCCUGCCGACGUUUGAUUUCUCUCUCUCGACGCUUCGGGGGAAAAAGAUCAAGUUAAACCCUAGAGAGACUGACGGAGAGGAGAGAUACGCUCUUUAUAACAUUUUUUAUUAAAAUUCGUUUUUGGUCCUUAUAGAUCUUUCAAAUGUAAUUUUAGCCUCGUAUAAAAUAAUACGACUAUUUGAAUCUGUCUGUGCAACAGAUCUUAUUCUGGAUAGAAUUUUCAUACUUGGUUUAGUUCAUUCAGUUAUUCAAAACAGAUAACUAUUUAGUGGUUUACAUUUUUAACUCAUUCAUUAAUGGUCAAUUGUCAAUAAUAGCACAUUUUGAAGUUUAUGUUUCAAAAAUGGCAUUAGAAGGAGAAAGUCACAAAAUGGUAUUCAUUAAAGGGUAAAAUAUCUAUAAUACUCUUGGUUUAAAAUUAAAUAAACAAAAAAAUAAAUAAAAUAAAAAUAAAUAAAAUGAUUUUUUUUUUAUAGUUUCAGAUUAUAUGUUUUCACAUUCGAAAUUUUUAUAAUUUUUUUUUGAAAUUUUCUUUUUGAAAUUUUUUUUUAUUUUUCUUUCAAAUUUUCUUUUUAUAAUUUAAAAAUACUUUUUGAAACGGUUUUAAAAAUUUUUAUUUUUUAUUUUAGUAUUUAUUAUUUAUAAAAUUUUAAACCCUAAUUCCAAAACUCCACUCCCCUUGACUCUAAACCCUAAGGUUUGGAUUAAUUAACCCAAUGGGUAUAAGUGUAUAUUUACCUCUUUAAUAAAACCUAUUUUUGUGACUUUGAGUCUUGAGUGCUACUUUGGGAACAAAAACUUGGUUUGGUGCUAUCUUAGUCUUAUUCUCUUUAUUAAUUUAGCAAAUCCUGCAAGAUUAGUGAAACAUACAAUGGUAUUGUUGCCAUAAAAAUUCGCUAUGAUUUUUAUUUGUUCUACAAUUUAAAUAAAAUUUGAUUGUAAUAUUGGGAUUAUGAGUUUCUGAUGGAUAUCAGAGCGACUGCAAUGGAGGUCCAAGUGUGAUCCUUAGGCGUAAUCCUUAGGUUAGUGAUAAUAUAAUAAUAUUAAUUAUCCGACUUAAGCUAAGGAUUGACCCGUCGCGAAGGGUUUUAAGGAUUUGAUCCUUGUGUACGUGUCAUGCGUUGAGUGGGCCGGUUUCGUUCGUGUUGCGUUGGGUCAAAAAUGGUUAACUCAUUUUCGACCGACCGCGUAGAAAAAAAGGGGCUCUCGAGAGAAAGGCGACAGGAAGGGCGAUUCCUCUCCGUGUGCUUUACGAAGGUAGAUCUCCCCGUUUUCUUCUUGAUUCCUCUGAUUUUUCGAUUCACACCACGUUAUCUUCUUGCUUUGUCUCAAUCUGGUUGGGUUAUGGGGUUUGAAUCGUUUUCGUUUAAUGAUUAGGGUUUUGGGGUUAAAAUUAGGGUUUCAAAACGAUUUGGGGAGAGGGGUUUUGAGCUGGUUCAAUCGAUAUGUUCUCUGUUUCGUUGCUAGUUGAUUCCGUUUGAUUAGGUCGUUGAUUCCGGAUAGAGUAGGUCGUUGAUUCCGUUUGAGUAGUUCGUUGAUUCCGUUACAGUAGCUCGUUAAUAUUUAGUUUUUGCUGAUGAUUAUACGGUUUCUACUGGGGUUUUUGGUUGAAUUCAAACCGCUAACUAAUUUGUUUUUAAGCUCGUUCACUCUUCUUAUAACUUUCUCUUAUUAGUUCUCGUUGAAAUCGUUUUUUGAUGAUGAUUAUUGAUGUCUAGCUAUGUUCUUACUUAAUUUCUUUCAGGUUAUCGAAAAUGGGACAAGAUUACAGCUAUAGUCAGCCCUCUUCAUCAUCAGAGUCUCUAGACAUAACCUCUCUUCUUGAAGCCGAAUGUCAGAUGUACGCGGAUGAAGCUGACAGUGGCUACUGCAAUUCAUUGCCGGUUCAGUACCCACGUCAACCAGAGGCUGAUGAUGGAAUUCCCACGACAUGUUACUGUGGAGCUCAGCCUGUUCUCGGAUGCUCUUACAUUGUCUUUACGUGCGACAAUGCGGAUGAUGGAGACUGCCACAUUUGGAAAUGGUGGGAAGUGGCAGUAAUGGAGGAGAUGAUGGAGUUUCAGAGACAACUUAGGGAUCUUAAGGUCCAAGGUUAUGAGAGUGAGCAGAAGGUCCUUCACCUUGAGAAGACGGUACAAGAGUUUUCCAAGAACAAAUCAGGAGUUAAGCUAACGGUCUGUCUGUUAGUUUUAAUAGGUUUCCUGUUAUUGAUUGUGCGAGGCAAGUUCUCUCCUCUGUUUCUUUGUAUUUUCUUAAAUUUUGAUGAAAACUUUUAAUGUUGUAUCUCAUGUUUUUUUCCAGGAAUCAUUGGAAAGGUUUCAAAGGAGAGUGUCGGUCCUCGGGAUUUUCUGUAAUAAGGUAUGAUAUUUUUUAAAAGUCAAUACUCUUGUUGUGUUUGAAAUGGACUUUAGUUUGCUUGUAACUUGCUAUCUGUUCUGAUUUGAGUUGCUUUAAUUACAUAGUUAGGAAUUAAUUCCGCCUUGCUUUGGUGUUAAAUGAUAGUUAUUUGCUUUCCAUCUACCCAACUGCUCUGAUUUGAUAGGCUUUAAUUAGUAGGAAGUUAGCUUACUUAAGGGUCUUUGUCGGUAGAAUAAUGUCUCACACCAACUUGUAAACAUGGCUAACAUUUCCGGGUAUGUAAACCUACUAACUAGUCAAAUCCCCAUUGACCUUGAAUCACCCGGUAGCCAAGUUCCCGAUGAGCCUGGUGACAAGAUUAGGAGGAAAUGGACUAUCACAGAUGAUAAAAUCCUUAUUGGUGCGUGGCUUAACACCAGUAAGGGCCCUGUGGUGAGCACUGAACAGAAAGCUGAUGCUUUCUGGAACCGUAUCGUUGACUACUACAACGCAAGCCCUCUCCUGGUGGGUACUGAACCGAGGAAGCUUCGUCCUUGCAAGCAGCGGUGGGCUCGUAUAAACGAGCAAGUAUCCAAGUUUUCUGGAUGCUAUGACGGGGCUUUGAGAGAGCAGAGAAGUGGGCAAAAUGAUGAUGAUAUCAUGAAAGCGGCUUUAGACAUUUUCUUCAUUAAUAACGGCUACAAGUUCGUCCUGGAUCACUGCUGGAGGGAGUUGAGGCAUGACCAGAAAUGGUGCGCAACUCAUACGGCUAAGGACGGUGGAAAGGAGAAGCGGAAACCACCUAUGGAGGGUGAUAGAGAAGAAGGGGGACACGGAGAACCAGAGGGUAGACCUCCCGGGGUAAAGGCUGCCAAAGCCGGAUGUAAGAAGAAGAAGAGUGCUAGGGAGGAGGAGUUGACGAAGCUAGAGGCUGUUUUAGCAACUAAAGAAAAGAUCUCUAGACAUAAACUCCUAGAUCGUUUACUCGCGAAAACAGAGCCACUCUCAGACAUGGAGACUACUCUAAAACUCAAACUAAUGUCGGAAAUGUUGUGAUUUAUUAGUCUUGAUUGUAGGUAUUAAUUUUGUUUUGUGAAGUUGGGACUUUUAAAUUGUUUUCUAUCGUACUAACUGUUGUCUUAUUUGAUGUGUCAGGACCGUGAAGGCAUGUGAACCAAGUCACGGGUGCGUUGGGAGGUCUGAAAGUGUUUUGGUCGUUAGCGGAUAUGAAGCAAGUCACGGAAUCUUCUGUUCAAGUCUAGUAUUAUAAGUAGUUCUCUUUGUUGCUCCACUUUGAAAACUUGUAUCCUUUUGGUUCUUUAUCUUUGUUAAAGAAGUAGAAGCAGUAGUUGUAUCCUCUUCGUAGAAGAAGAAGAAGUACUUGUAUCCUCUUGGUAGCUUCUCUUUGUAUCCACCCUCGGUAUUAGGUAACACUUAUCACUCUUGGUGCUUAAUCUUUCUGAACGUAAAAGUACCUUGUGUUGUUAUAAUCUUUCUGAACGUGAAAGUGUUACAAGUGUUACAAGUGUUAAUCCUCGGUAUUGCAUUUUAUGUUAAACUGAAACAAGUGUUGCAUUUCGGUUUUGUUAUAAUCUUUCGGAACGUGAAAGUACCAUGAAAAUGAAAGAGAGUAAAUAAAAGGAGACCAGAAACAUGUGUUGCAUUCUAUAAUCUUUCUGAACGUAUUCAUAGUCGUAUAGUUUCAUAGUCAAACAAUCAGUGGUUUAGGACAGUUAUUCAUAGUCGUAUAGUUUUCAAACCGCUAACAAAUUUGUUAUCGUAAAUUUUUAGAAUUUUGUUUUUACUCUUGCCUUGUAUACAUUAGAUUACAAAUAACUUGAUGGCACAUUCAUAUUAUUUUAUUAGUUCGCAAUCGGGAUUUGAAUUUUCUCAAAGUGAUUUAAGUAUAGUUGGUCACAUGUAGACGUCUUAAAUGGUAAUUUUUUUGAAUUUUCACAUGUCUCAUAAACUAAUAUAGGUUUCAGUAUGAAAUUCUACUACUAACAAAAAAAAGUUAUGAUAACAAAUUUCAAAAUGCUGUUGUAAUGUAUAUAAGUAACCAAUACGUAUAAUUUUGGGUUUACGUAGGGAUAAGAUGUCAUCAUCCUCAUCUGACAACGUCGAUGAAAGAUUGGACGAAAUUAUCGACGAAAUUGUUGAUGAUACAUACAAUGACAUUGUGGAGUCCCAACCCAAUAAGCAGAAGAGGCGUGCUUAUGUAGAGCGAAACCGUGAAGUAGGACACGACCGUUUAUGGAAUGACUACUUCAGCGAACAUUCAACAUUUUUGGCCCAUUUAUUCAGACGCCGGUUCCGCAUGAGUAAGGAUUUAUUCUUGCGUAUAGUGGUGACCCUUUCAGAGAACAUUCGAUUCUUUACACAAAGAAGAGAUGCAACCGGGAGGUCUGGUCUUUCUCCACUACAAAAAUGUACGGCGGCUAUUUGUCAACUAGCUUACGGUUCAGCGGCUGACGCUGCAGACGAAUAUCUUCGACUUGGUGAAAGCACGGCUCUUUCAUGUUUACACCAUUUCACUGACGGAAUAAUACAAUUAUUCGGAAAAGAGUAUCUACGAAGGCCCACACCAGAGGAUCUUCAACGGUUGCUGGAUAUUGGAGAGAAACGCGGGUUUCCUGGGAUGGUGGGAAGCAUUGACUGCAUGCACUGGGAAUGGAAGAAUUGCCCAACCGCUUGGAAAGGACAGUACGCACGUGGCUCGGGAAAACCGACAAUUGUCUUAGAGGCUGUGGCUUCACAAGAUCUUUGGAUUUGGCACGCUUUCUUCGGUCCACCAGGUACUUUAAACGAUAUUAAUGUCUUGGAUAGGUCUCCUGUUUUUGAUGACAUUUUCGAAGGCCGAGCUCCCACGGUAGAGUAUGUGGUCAACGGACACAACUAUAACUUGGCUUACUAUCUCACUGACGGUAUCUAUCCCAAAUGGGCAACCUUUAUCCAAUCUAUCACAAGUCCUCAAGGCCCUAAGGCAGAAUUAUUUGCUAAAAAACAAGAAGCAACCCGGAAAGAUGUGGAAAGGGCUUUCGGAGUAUUGCAAUCUCGAUUUGCGAUUGUGAAGAACCCGGCUCUUUCAUUGGACAAACAGAAGAUUGGGAAGAUUAUGAGAGCAUGUAUUAUACUAUACAAUAUGAUAGUCGAAAAUGAACGAGAUGGUUACAUUCGGUACGAUGAUUAUGAAUUUGAAGAAGAAGACGGCCCAAGAAGUUCACGGGUCGGUAACAACAUGCCUACAAAUAUCCAUAAUAUUAUCGGCAUCCGGAAUGAUGUUCACGAUACCCAGGCACAUCAUCGAUUGAAAUAUGAUUUAAUAGAAAAUAUUUGGAAUAAAUUUGGUGAUUCAUAAUCAUGUUGUAUUUUUAAAUUUAAUAAUCUUAAUUAUUUAUAAGAUCUCAUGUUGUAUCUUUAUAUUUAAUCAUCUUUUUAUUUAGACAUGUUUUAUUAAAAUUUUCCUAUCUAAAUUUUCUUUUUUUUUUAAAAUAAUAUAUUUAUAUAUCUAAGGACUCCGGAAUGAGACUCACCAUUGGACUCACCAUUUCGAUUCGGAUCCUUCACUAGUCAAACAAAAACAAAAAAAAAAUUAAUAUUUAACUACCUAAGGACUCCGCAAUGGGACUCACCAUUGCGGAUGCUCUCAUAUGCGGCAUAAACGGUAUAAAAGAAGUAAAAUAUUUUUUAUUAUUACUAUUAUUAUUAUCAACCAAACCAUUGAUUAUUAUUUAUUACAGUGGUCUACCAAAUCCCAAAACAAAACAAAACAAACAAUCCAUCCAUGCGACUAUACCAUUUUAUGUGCGUCUCUUUAAAGAAUUCAAGGCAAUGCUCAUGCUCCUAUAAGCGAAGUAGUGGGUAGUGUCGUAUACUCAACAUCCCGCAGCCUCUCAACGUCUUCACCGUGGGGGCUCUUACAUUGGAAAUAUGCAACGGUGUAAGUCAUAAGUAAAAACAUCGCCACAAAUGUUAACACCGCUAGAUACAAACCGGUGGCUAAGGUAAAUGACUGGCUCCUAUCGACCGAUAGACUCACUAGAGCCACGAUCUGAGCUAAACCAAAGAUCAAUAAACCGUAGAAAAUAUUCAAGAGGAAUAGUUUUGGCUUCAUCCCUUUAACAAUCUUUGCAGCUUCUCCCAAAGCUUGUAUCCCAUAAGUUUCCUCCAGUACUGAUAUGACAAUAGAUAGGUACCAGACAGUAGCUAAAUAAGACGCAAACAAUAAGAACAGAACGAGUAAAACGAAAAUCUUGGAUACCAAGGAAAACAAGGAAGCAAUACUCAAAGAUGACAAAAGAAUAGGAAAAAUGAUUAUAAGGAAGAACAAGCAAUAGCCAAGACUAAAGAGAGAAAUGUAGAAAGAGGUCACAAGAGGUCCCUUCCAAGAUUUAAGAAUUAGAACCACAAAAUCUUUGAACUUGACGUUCUCCUUUUUAUAAGUAAGAGCUGAAGCGUGGACGAUGACUAGAACGGAUAAUAUGUUGAUGAUGAAGGAGACAGCGUUAAAGAUGUCUGAAGAAACGACAAAUAGGCGAAAAUCUGCAAAGACCUUCAUAAGUUGGGCCAUGUAUUCCGGGCUGCUAGGAUCCAUCGUAGGUAACAAAUUUAAAUCUUGAGUCAAGUUUGUUAUCUCGGGUGUAAUAGUAAGGACGUUGAAUAAGUAAAGUAAACCAUUGAGCACGAGAUAAAAUACAAAGACAGAGAACAUCAGCUUCUUGUUCUUGAGAAAGAGUUUGCGGGAUUCGUUUAACAUACCCACCACCUCCUUUAGAAGUUUCCAAAACGAAAAUAGACCCAUGGUUUACAAGAAAGAAAGAAAAAAAAUGAAAAACUUUUGGAUAUUGGUUUUGGAAAUGAAGGUGAGGAUUUAUAAGAUCACAUAUUCAUACCCAUCAUCUGUUUAUAUACUACUAAGUUAGUGGUACUAACUACUAACCAUAAGGCUGAUUGAUUGGUUCGCUACUUUUCAAUGGAGGAAAAGUCUUUGGUUUGUAUUUCUUCAUCCAAAAUUAUAAGAUAAAAACGAAGACUUAGACAUAUAUAAUAUAACACGUCGAAGAAAAAGUCUAAACAUGACUUCCUGAUCGCGACAUAAAAAGAGAGGAAACGAGAGGUAACAUGUUCAACUGGCCAUCCUCAAACACAUGAUCGUGACCAAUACGCGCUUUCAUAAAUCCGUCUUGAAACAACGGUCAAGCAACACCGUCUGAAUGUGAAAUAUCGAAACGUCUACAUAUAUAUAUAAAUCUUAUAUAUACAAAUAUAAUUAAAUAUUUUUUUUACCAAAAUGUGAUAAUGUCAAUUAUACGCUAAUAUAAUUGACAAAUCACAAACCUAACCCUAAGAUCAUUUUGCCAGUCCCGAAAAAACGACAAAACCGCAAAAAUGUAUAUUCUCGCCAAAACCACACAAAAAAUAUUUUUCCGAUAAAAACGAAAAGUCGUAUUUUUACUCGCCAAUACCAAAAAUUUCUUUUUCCAGCAAAAACAAUAAAAUUUGUUUUUCCACAAAAACUUUUUCCCAUCAAAACUAAAAACUCUCGUUUUCAUAUCAAACCGAAAAUGGCACUUUCCCACCCAAUCCGAAAAUAUCCGCCAAAGCAAAAAAAAAAAUUUUCUCGUCAAAAUAGGAAAAUCUCAUUUUUUUCUCUAAAUCAGAAAAUAUUGUUUUCCAGAAAAAACCAAAAAUCUCAUUUUUCUACAAAAACAAAAAUAGCAUUUUCGUGCCAAAACCGAAAAACACAUUUUCACGCCAAAACAAAAAAUAGUGUUUUCCUGCCAAAACAAAAAAAAAAUCAUGUUUUCCUUCAAAAAUCGAAAAUCUUGUUUUCCGCAAAAAAAAAAUGUCGCUUUCCCUCGAAACAAAAAAAACGUUUUAUCGUCAAAAUUGGAAAAUUACAUUCCCUCAAAAACCGAAAAAGUCUUGUUUCCGCAAAAACCAAAAAUUGCGUUUUUCGGCUAAAACUAAAAAAAAUCUCAUUUUUUGCAAAAACCGAUAAAAAUCGUGUUUCCCCGUGAAAACAAAAAAAUGCGUUUCCACCAAAACCGAAAAAUCACAUUUUCGCAAAACCAAAAAAAUUGUGUUUUCCGCCAAAACAAAAAAAAACACAUUUUCCCGCUAAAAGCGAACAAUCUUGUUUCCCGCAAAAAUCAAAAUCGUGUUUUCCCGCCAAUACCAAAAAAUGAAUUUUCCGCAAAAACCUAAAAAUCUCAUUUUCCGCCGAAAAUCAUAUUUUGCUGCCGGAAAAUCAUAUUUUCCCGCCAAAACCAGAAAAUGUUAUUUCCCGCAAAAAACUGAAAAAUUCAUUUUCCCGUCAACAUACAAAAUUGUGUUUUCAAAAAAAAUUGUGUUUUCUACUAAAACCAAAAUUUCAUUUUUUUCCUCAAAAAUUGAAAAUUUUACUUUUCCCGAAAAAAACCUGAAAACCUAAUUUUAAUAUAGUUUCAAUGUAAAUAUAUUACUAAAUAAUAAAAGUCAAUAUAGUUAAAAUUAUCAAACAUUUGAUUAAAUCAAAACAAGUGUAUAUUAGUAAUUUGUAUACUAAAUUCAUAUGGAUGGAAAUAGAAAUAAAGAAACUAACAUAAGUCAUUUCUGAUGAUUCAUCUAGAUGAACCAUCUGGAUGGACAAACAAACAGUCCCACAAAAUUUGAAUGGAUCAUCUGGAUGGAUCUUACAAAUGGAUCGGCUAGAUGGAAAUGACAAAUUGUGAAACGAACCACUCCUUGGUUUACUAUUAGAUAAAUAAAGGAGAAAUAAAAAUACAGGCCAAUUGAGUGGCAUUGUUAAAGAAGGAGAAAGAGCCCAACAUGACCCAUUAUGACAAUCUAAUUGCCUAAUACAUUUUCUUAAGAAAAUCAUAUACAUAAUGAAGGAGUUUACUCUCGUUUGCCCUCAUUUUGUAGUGACAAUAGCCCUCUUUUUUUUGUCUUAAAAUUCUGUCACAAUAGCCAUCUUUUUUUGUAGUGACAAUUAUGAAAAUUCUGUCACUACAAAAAAAGAGGGCUAUUGUGACAGAAUUUUGAGACAAUUUUGUUUUGUCACAAAUCUGCGACAUUCUAGAGACAUUAAUGUGACUAAAUUUUUCAGUCAUAUGAUAGUAACUGUUUAGUCACAAUAUUGUGACAAUCUAAGCCGUAGUUAAUUUUCGUCACAAACUGUGACAUUCUAGAGACAUUAAUGUGAUUAAGAAGUUGUAGUCAUAAAAUAGCAACUGUUUAGUCAUAAUAUUGUGACGAUCUAAGCCGUAGUUAAUUUUCGUCACAAUUAGUAACAUAACUAUGACAAAAAGAGAUUUCGUAACAAUCGUGACAUAGAUCUUUUAGUAAUAUUCAUUGUCGUUUAUGUAAUAUAGUUAUAUAAAAUUAAAUGGAAGUGUUAGCAAACCUAUGUUAUGGAAACAAAAUAAAUAAAAUGGCAAUGGAGAGAUAUAAAUUUAGUGAUGCCAAGUUAAAGAAGGAUUAUGUUUGUAUGGGAAAUAAGAAAAUAAUUCUUACUGGAAUUUUUAGCCCUUUCUCAGAAAAAAAUUCUUACUGGAAUUUUUAACUAGAGAAACAGUUUUCAAUUUUAGGAGAGUAUAAAAUUUAGUAGUUGAAGAAAGACGGACGAAAUAAGCACCAACUGUCAUUACUCUUCGGUCAUUGAUAUCCAAAGAUUAUCGGUCAUUACUCAUUAGUACCCAAAGAUUUAAUUUUACAAAGGAGUAUAAGAAAUUAAUUAGAGAAUCAAAGUGGUGCGAUAAAUCCCGGUAAAUAAGCAUUAAAUCCGGGUUGUUACCGUAAUAGGCACCAAACGUUAUUACUCAUUAGUAUCUAAAGAUUUAAUUGAAUACAAUAUAUAAAAAAAAUAAACAAGUUAACAACUUACUCUCUUCCUCAUUCACAAGUUUACCUAAAAACCUAAGAACUGUUCUUGUACAAAAUUGAAGCUGUCUCUUUUUUGGUUUCUAAAUUUUCACAAUCACUAAUUUCAGUUUGCAUUACGUAUGGUUAAUCUUCUGUAGGAGGUGUACAUUUUCAAUCAGUUCUUUAAACUGCUUGUUGUAUUGAAUCUCAAUUUUUUUGGGCACUUGUAGAUACAUCUUCUAAUCAUCGGUGUGCGCCUUUAUGAGAGAGGAUCAAAUUCCCAGCCUAUCGAUUUUGGAAGACCUUUUUCUCUUGGACUUUAUCAAGAAGAGAAACGAGAGUCAACCCAUAUAAGAUCACUCGACAAGAUCACAAACCUCCCAAGAUGGCCAGUUUAUAAGAUCGAGAUUCUGUUAAUAAGGCCGGUGCGGAAAUAACACUACAAGAUUUGAUGAAUCUAUUCAUUUGCUUUCCUCUGCUUCUGGGAUUUUCUUCUUCGUUUAGUUUAUUCUUUCUGAUAUUGUUUAACAGACUCUUGUUCUAUGUAUAAUGUAGUAUAUUAUAAUAAUCUUGACAUCUAUGUAAGUUUUUGUGUAUGUUUUUCUUUUAAUAAUAAUUUCCUAAUUGUGUAGUUCUGAUGAAAAUUGUAUAAAUAAUACUAAUACGGAGCUAACAUAUUUAAUACAAAAUAUUAACAGUUCAUAUACGUCAAAUUAGUAGCUAUAUUUAAAUGUGACAAAGUUUUAGUAAUAGGGAAACCAAAAUGACCGAAUUGAGAAAUUGUAAUAAUACUGAUAAUUUGAAUGACGGAUUCAAGACUUUUUUUAGUAUGUAAAUGUAACGAACUGAUGACAAUGCUGUAGGCACUAUUUAGUAAAAUUAGUAACUAAGUUAUGUUGCAAUUAAUUACAAAAUGGAAACAUUUUAGUCGUCACCAAAGCCAAUGUUUUUAAGACCAGAUUUUUAGUCAAUAAUUGUGACGGUUUUGUUACUUUUAUUUUUGUCACUUUUACUGACAAACUAGUUACUAGAAUUAUUUGUUACAAACUAAGACGUCUUUUUACCGCAUAAAUUUGUGAAGACAUUAUUGCGACUAUUCAUAAAUGGUAACAAUUCUGUCACAAUAGUUAUAUUGUUACGGAACUAUGUUUAUUGUGACUAAAAAAUUUGUCACAAUAUAAAUAUUUUCUUGUAGUCCUAAAGUGUCAACCUCAACAUUUUUGUUGGUCCCACCAAAAAAAUUUGGGUUAUUAAUUAUUAAUUUGGGGUUUUCUAAUUUUUCCUUUAUAUAUAAUUGUAUAUAUGAACACACUAUUUUUUUUAAGAGCGAUUUGCAUAGUAAAUAGCAACUAAUUUGAUAAUUUGUAAAGAUGGAAGAAUCGUUAGCUCAACCGUGAGGCCCAUGUCCAAAGCUUGCCAAAUGACCAUUUUAUCCAUACUUCUUUGUCAUUUACAGAGGAAACGUAUGAGUUUUGUAAUGAUGACAUACAUGCAAUUAUAAUUUAGUCUAUAUAUACAAACAACGUAAGUAUUUGUGUAGCAUGUACAUGUCUGAAAAUAGCCAGCAAAUACUGACUAAUACAACAACACUAAUUGGCUAUAUUUUUUUUGGAGAUUUGAUCAUUACAUAUACAAAUAUGCAUACCAUACAAUCGAUAUAUCGUGUAUACCAUUUCUGCAACGAUCAAUACAUCGCUUCACAAGAAUUUGUUUCUCUAUUUGAGGGUUUGACAUCAUUUCAAUUUUUACAGAAAUCAACUACAUAAAUAAUGGUAUUUUACAUAAAGAAGAAGCAGUAGAUGUAUGAUCAUUGUGAUGGUCCACAAUUUCACUUGCCUUAGAACUAUAUGUGUUUUACCGGGAAAUAGUUUCUUAGUUAAAAAUUUUUGUUUCUUCACAAGCCAGAAUUUCAUCUCGGGCGAGAUUUCGGUGAGUCACAUCGAAAUUCGCCGUCUCAAAACACCCGAUUUGAGUUAGUGGUCGGCUAAUCUAAAUGUAUGUAUAUAAUAUAUACCAAUCAAUACUAUUAAAAUAGAAGACCCUUUUUUAAGGUGCCCUUUUGUUUCAACAAUAUUUACAAUUUUUUGCCACUGGAUUAUUUAUAAGCUAUGCUUUUAAUUAAAAUCAGUAUUUUAGUAAUUCUUUUUAUUCAAACAGCAAGCAAGGGAAUAUACCCUAAAUCCCUAAUAAUACUAAACGACAUCUAUUCUGUUUGAUUUUAUAUCACUACUGUUGAUUGUCGAAGAUAAUAUAGAUGAAGCUUGAUACAAAUGGUUUCGAGACUUCCAUUCCUACGAUUGGCAACAAUAUGCUUGAUGAUUUUUCUAUUCUGUCCUCCACUGAUCUUCCCCGAACAACAUAUGUGAAUUUUAUUUCUUUGAUGAGAUUCUUUUGUGUUCAUCCGCUAAGCAGUGUGGGUUGUUGAUUUUAGUUUUUGUUUGGGUUUCAGUUUGAUGAGUUUAGUAAGAAGCUGUACAGAUGGUGACGCCUGCUGAAGGAACAACCACACUCGAUUUUUUCUUCUAAGGUGUCAUGGUCGCUGCUGAUUCUCGGGCUAGGAGAGGAGGUGAAUCAAUCGAGAUGAAGGAAAGCCAACGACUAGGUAUAUACUUCUUUGCCCGAAUUGUGUUUUUUUUUUUGGGAAACACUACCACUUGAUUUUGCUAAGAUCUCACUUUAUGGUUUUGUUCUUGAUUCCAGUGACUUGGUUUCUUUUGUUGAUAAACGUAUUGUUAGUUGAAAUGCAAUUUACUCGCACCUGUUCCAUAUUUCAGUGCUUCAGUGUCAAUGAUCUUUAUCAACAAAGCUGUGAUUAUGCAAUGUCCACACUCGAUGACUUUUCUAACACUUCAGGUACUGAAGAUUUUUAACAACAAAAGGUAUCUCUCUCCUUUCGUCAGUCUACAUUUAUUAUUACUCACUUUCCCCAAUAUUUUUUUAUGAUUUGGUCCUUUUGUUUUCUUCUCUUGGUUGUGUUGGCAAGUGGCUAAUUCAUCGCUUAUACAUUGUGGGAGACAAAAUGGGACACAGCAGAGCCGACGUAAUCAUUUUGGCCACUUCAAAAAAGCUUCUCUGCGUUUCCAUCAUCUAUAAUGCUAAUGUUGUAUUUGUUCUUGCAAGGUUGAGAUGAUUCAAUAUUUUUUUAUAGAGCAAAUUAGCUCAAUAUACUGAAAAGAGUGGGAUACCAUUGAAUUGGAAGAAAAUGGUAGUGAUGGGGGAAAAAUUUUUGAAGGGAAAUAAUGUAUGGAAUGCAAAUAAGGAGGAAGUUGUGUGUAGGGAGUACAAAUACUCUUUUUUAUAUAUCGCCAUCUAAAAGACUUACUCCUUUUGAUAGCCGGUUAUAUGUUUGGUAAACGGAAUCCAACAACUCAUGUAUAUAAUAUGUUCUGGAACUAGGACUGAUUUAUUACCUUCUUAUAAACUUUAUCAUGUUUCAAACACUGAAUAUCUUGAUCAAAUCAGGUAGCUUCAUAUGUGCCACUAACAGCUGCAGGUUGUUUAAUUUAAAAUUUGGAGAUUUGGUAGAGAAAACAUGUAUAUGGAAUAAUUGUCGUAUAUUUAAUCUAUGACAUUAUUAUCUACACUCCACGACAUAUUGAUACUAUUAACAUAUAGCAUAUUAACAUCUUCGCUAACUGUUAUCUUAACAGGUUGAUAUGGUCAUUUAUAUGAUAUUUGACUCUCUCUUUUUGCCCCACGACAUAUUAGCAAACAAAUAUCUAGAGAGCCAAUUAUAGGAUAUGCUAAGUGAAACAUUUGCUGCAGGCUUCCAAUUUUUCUGAAAAGAUUACAUAAAAAUAGAUUUCAAAAAAAAAUUUUAGGCUCCCAAAUAUAUAAUUUUUUUUUUACAUAGAUACAACUACGUACUCGCAAAAUCUCAGGGCCGGUCCUGAAUAUCUAUAUAAUAACAUUUUAACCAAUAACGCUUCUAUGAUAUUGUAUUGAUAUCCAAGAACACUUCUCAAUAACUCCAAGACAUAUAUGAUAGAGGAUAUAUAUAGAAAAUUUGUCGUAUAAAUAUUCAGUAUUCUACUUGGUAUCUAUUUAAGUAUUUGGUAGAAUAUAGGCUAAAUCUUUUCAAUUUAAAACUAAAGAGAAAUCUGGUUUAAUUAUUCAACAAAUAUUCUCGCACUAAUAACACCAUAUAAUCAAUUUUAUAAAAACUAUUUAAAACAGAAUACUAAAUCUCAGAUCAAACAUAUUGCCGAAUCAACAUUAUUUAGAAUCUCUUUACUGUGGCGAUACUUUUAGCAUUAAUACUAUUUACACAAUAUCUUAACAAACAAUAAGUAAACAAAAUAUAUUUCAAAACAUUUGCAAUCAGCCAGCUUUAAUUUAAUUGCCGUAUAGUAUGAAAUGAAUUACAAUACAAAACGGUUACAUAUUUUUAGACAAACAAAAGAUUUCGUUAAAUUAAAAAAAAAAAUCAAAAAUAUAAGUCUUCAUAUUUUUGGGUUGGCGGAAAAAACACUAAUUUUAAAAUUUAUAAUAUAUAAGUUAUUUCAAAUUCAACAAUUAAUGUCACUUUCAGAAAAUACAUGGUAUUAUUAUAACAAAUAUAAUAAUAAAUAUGUCAAUAUUUAUAUACGUUUAUAAUACGGACACUGAAAAAUUUAAAUAUAUAAAGUAUGUACACAUAUUAAUUUUAAUUAAAUUUUUUGACAAAAAAAAAUUAAUUCUAUAAUGGGAAAUGGGUGUCAAAAUCAAUAUUAUUAAGAUAGAAUAAAAAAAUUGGAUCCAACUUGUGUUUAAAAUUGACUACAACCUUAUACUAUUUAAAAUAAAUAGGUAAAUUUUAUUCUGAAAUUUCGAAAAUUCAUUUUAAACUAUUUUAAUUUUUUACUUUGAAUUUUAAAUAUAUAUAUAUAUUAAUUCAUUAAAAUCUUAAACUCCAUCUCACUCUAAAACUUCAUCGCUCAAGUCUAAACAGUAAGUGUAGAUCAAUUAAUCCUAAGAAUAUAAAUGUUUGUUUAUACGUAAUCCUCGAUUAUACCAUAUUAAACAUAUUAACUUUUGGGAUAUGAUCAAUACAUAGAAUUAAUAUAUAAAUCAUAUAUUUUUUUGCUAAAAUUUAAUAAAUGAUAUUAUAAGAAAAUAAAAAAAGUAAAAUAUGUUCAAAUCAACUUUUUCUAAACCCGACAUAUACAUCAAACACUAUUUUUGGUCAUUAGGUUAUUGUGCUGAUCGCGGGUGAGCCAUUGGUCAAUAAUUUAUUUCAUUUUAUAUAAAUACAUAUAUCAAUAUUAAAUUACAAAAAUCAUGUUUAAAAAAUAUAGAAAAAAUUAAAUCAAUUUUAUUUAAAUUGCUAAAAUAUAAAUAGAUCAUUUAAACGAUUUUCUAACAAGUUGGAGUUACGACAUAAUAAAAAUACAAUAAGAUUAAAAUUAAUAAGUAUUUAAAUAUCUAUGCAAAUAUUGAAAUUAAUUUUUAAAAUUUUAAAAUAACAGUUUAAAUCAAAUACCAUAAAAAAAAUUCAAAUUGGAUUACACAUUUGUCACCUAUUGGUUCAACUGGUUGGCUUCUGGUGCCAGCAUUUUUUUUUUUAGUUUUAUAAGGUUAUAAAAUAAUGAAUAUUUAUUAAAACCAAAAUUGGUUAGAUAUGGAUUUACUGGUUCACAUUUGGGUCUAGAUCCGGUUUAAAAGGGUUGAUUUUAAAUAGAUUUUUUUUUUACAAAUCUAACAAACAUUUAUAACGUUGUUAAUGAAAUUUAUCAUCGUUAAAUAUCCCGCGCUUCCAAAGCGCGGGUCAAAAUCUAGUUAUCCAGUUAUAUUUAGUCGUCGUUGGUUCAUUAGUUUAGUGGUCGACUAAGUUAAAUAAUUAUCUGGACAUUAUUAUUGUUAGUUGGAUCUUUCGAUAAGUAUUUGAUUAUCACUAUAGACUCAAACUUGUAGAUUAUUCUCGUAUCUAAGAAAAUUAAGUAGUGUAUUUCAAUUAUACAUAUAUUUUUAUUGUUAGUUAAAUUUUUCGAUCAGUAGUCAGUUAACUUAAAUAAUUACACGGACAUUAUUAUUGUUAGCUGGAUAAAACUUCUUAAGUAGAACUAAUGAUUUUAUUAGCAGUCGUUUGGAAAAGACACGAGAAGCAAGAACGAAGAGCUUUACACCAUGACUCCUUCUCCCAAAAAAUUUCCAAGGUUGAUGUAAAACACACGAUGUCCUUGUGCAAGUCUCACUCUUCUAUAGAACCAAGGCCAACAAAGACCAAACACACUCAUAUCUUGUUCAUGCAUCUAUGACUUCAAACCAUCGGAGAAUCCUGAAUUCGCUGAAGAGUCAAAAACAGAAAUCUGGAGAAAGCGAGAAGCUUUCAUCGCAAAGCUUCAACGGAUCCGAGGAUGAAGAUUAAUGCAAAUUUCGGCCACAUGAAGAUAAAAUCAGCUAAUAAUUAGAUAACUAUUGAUCUACAAGAUAGACCAAAAAUCUAACAAAAAAAGAACCAUAUCAAUAAAAAAAAGAAACACAAAAAAAAAUUAAAAAGGCACAACGACGAGACUAAAAAGUCGGACACUGGCUGGAAAACGUGCAAAUGGUGGAGACAAAAUUUCUAUAAAAGAGAUGCCGAGUGAAUUAGAAGAAAGGAGAGAAAUAUAUAUUUGUGUUACAAGAAUGAAUGAUAUGGGUUAAACUGCCACUAAAAAAAACAGAUCAGCAAAAAAAUGUGAAGUUUCAUUUUUGCAAAUAAUGCAGUUAUUUUUGUAUAAGAGCUGCAAUUUCUUUAAAAAAAAAUUAUUAUCAUUUUAGAAAAAAUAAAAACCGCACACACUAUAACUGAACACUCCCCAUCUUUUUAUGUAACAGCAAACCUCAGAAUAAACCUCACAGCUGGAACCAACUCUCCAAACUAAGUUAUGUAAAGGUUGCUUCUCUAAAACAUAUCAAGGUCAUUUUUGUCACAAACUUACACAGCCGUACAACUAAAGUGUUCUAAGAUCAGAAUGCCUCUUCACGCGUAAAGAGAAUUCAUAAUGUGUCCUUUUAUGUAACCUUCUCAAAAGAAAUAUUUACUCUCUCACACACUUUUCCAGUUUCUAAUUACACUAAAGGUCACAUUGGACUUGCUACACACUUUUUUGCUGUGUAAAGACAUUGACACCCCUUAACUAAACAACUUACUCAUGACAGACAAAAAAAAAACACCCUUAACUAAAUAACUCUUCUUCCCCACUAGACCUCUAUCUUCUCUAGCUUCAAAAUAACUUUCUCAAUUCCAAUCCCAAAUUAAACAACGGAUGAUAGAUGUGCCAAAAAAUUUGCCUACGAAUAUCAAAUGGGUUGCCUACGGAUGUUGUGGUCACCAAAAAAUUUGCUCAACGUACGUCGUUUCUCUCCGUUUUAUCCUCGGCGAUCCUCCCUGAUGUAUCUGCAAAUCUGAGUCCACUGUCAUCUGGGUCACCAAGAUUAUUAUAAGCUUUUCCAUCUUCUUAAUUGCAUCUCUAUUUCCAUCAAUAAUCGAAUAUAUUUUGUAAUUAGCCCUCUUUGUAAUUUGUUUUCAUAUUCUCCCUUUUUUGUAUCAUUAUUUGAAAUUUAAAACAUAUAUAUAAGAAUCAAACAAGUUAAGAAAAAGAAAACAAAUUAUUUGUAAGAGUCUUUGUUAAUGAAAUAGUUAUGGACAAGAUACUUGUGGACAAGAGAAUUAUGUUAACUUUUUUAUAAAGAAGUUAUGUAAUUGACUAUUUGUGUUUCAAGUUUUUGUACAAUCAAGUGGAAACUCAAGUAUGAAAUGUCUUAGACUUUGUGAUCUUACGAACCAUGUCUGAGAGCAUGUGUACUAAUUCAAGGAUAUCUGAAAACUUUCCUAUCAUCUAUAAUACUCAUGGAUGGGUGAUUUGUGGACAGUGUUUUAUGGAUGAAUGUAUAGUAAAUAGGAUUCUCGUGGUUAGUGUGUCGUGGAUGGUGUCUCAUGAAUAUGUAUGUGAGUAUAUCAUGGAUGAAUGUAUUGUGGAGAGUAUAAACAUAGCCGAAGAGAAACAAGUUACUCACAGCACCAAAUAUUUAAAAACAGGAUAAUCAGAAUACAAAACUUUUAUAAUCGACGCUGAAUGUAUUUAAAUGAUGUUAUGAGCGUAUGAAUCUUAUUCAAGAAAUACUUUCUUCGUCCACAUAUUGCUCUAGUAAAUAUUAAGAGAAUGAAUGAUGUGGCAUUACUUGUUCUACUAUAGUUUGACUGAAGAAGAACUUGCUAGAAUUCAUGAAUACAACUUUGACCAUCCAGAUGAGUCUGUCUUUUAUAAAUUGUACGCAAUGCCACCUAAUUAACUCAUUUGUGUCCAUCAAAUGACGUCCACAUAAUGCAUAUAAACUGUGUCCAGUAAAUUAAUUGCAUUUACUACGAAUGCAUCCACAACAUUAAUUGUCCAUGAACCUAACCACCAGUGACUGAUCCACCACGGACACAUCCAGGACAUUCCACUAUGUUAACUUAAGUUAAAUUUUUAAUAUAAAUAUAAAUAUACACAUGGAUAUCAAAAUAAAAUGAAAAAAAAAUCGUAUUUUUGACAUAUAUACUUAUAUAUAUAUAUACAUAUUUGAGAAUUAGAAACUGAUUAUGGAUCAAAUAUGUUGGGGUAUGAAAAAUUGAUUUAUUGUUAAAAAAUAAAAAAUUAUGUAGAGAAAUACAUCAAACAGCAAACCUCAGAAUAAACGUCACAGCUGGAACCAACUCUCCAAACUAAGUUAUGUAAUGGUUGCUUCUCUAAAACAUAUCAAGGUCAUUUUUGUCACAAACUUACACAGCCGUACAACUAAAGUGUUCUAAGAUCAGAAUGUGUCUUCACGCGUAAAGAGAAUUCAUAAUGUGUCCUUUUAUGUAACCUUCUCUAAAAAAAAACCUCACAGAUAAAAUAUACAUUUGACCCAAAAUAUCAUAUGUAAACCAGAUAACUUAAUCUACUUGCCAAUUUGACUCCAUUUACUCUUUUUUUUUUUUGAAACUCAACUCCAUUUACUUAUACUCCUUUUUAACACUGGUGAUUGGUAAAAAAGAUAAAGAAAAAAAAAAACACUGGUGAUUGGUACAAUGGUUUAGCUUGGCGUCAAUGAUGGUAAUGAUUGUGCUUCCGUGUUUGAGACUGAAAUAACCAAGCUCACCUCAAAACCUGCAUCAAUAUCUCAUUUUCGAGGUAUUUUUGUCCAAACUAAACAACUUCUCUGACUACCAUUAAGUGUAUCAGAAAUCACAACGCAAGUGAAAUAAUAAACUGAGAAUAUAAUAUAUUGUACAUGUUUGAGUGGGCUUGAGGAAAACGAAACAGUUCAUUUUUCAGAUAUAGCAUGAUUAUUGGUUAGAAACCAUGACAGUUUCUAAUAGAAAAAAAAAAUUGAUAUUAUACUUUUUUUAUACUUAACAUUUUAUAAACCAAUUGACAUGUUAGUGGAUUUUUUUUUUUGUCUUUGAGGGUUUUAAACCAAUUGUUAAAAGUUCUGCAUCAAAAGCUUUUCUCUAUCCUCUUUCAUAUUUUCAUUAAUUUUUCUUUUUCUUAAACGAUGAGAACUAUCUCUAUAUACUACCGAUAGAGCUAUUCUACGACUUUCAAAUUCACACUCUAACACCAUGUUUCCAGCCUAAAAAUGACAGAUAAAUACACCAACAAAGAUGGUUCCAUGAUAGAGAAUAGAUUGAUUGUUUAACAUUUUAUUGUCACAAAAUAUAAAAUAUUAUACUGACAAUUGUUUUUAUUCUUACAGGUGACUGUCACAGUUUAGACAGACAUUUCAAAUUAAUAUAAACAUACCCACCACUUCAGACAAUAGUCAGGAUGAAAAAUCACCAAAGAAGAAAAAAGCAACAAAAUCAGAAAACAAGGAAUGGAAAUCCGUCGCGAAUAUGGCUGUGAUAGUGUUUCAAAAUGAUACACAUCCCUCUUCCUCCAUUUUCAGUUCAAUUUAUUUUUCUUAGUUUUAAGAAUAUUAGACCGUGUUUCUCUUAAUCGUUAGUGCCUUUCUGCUAAAAAAAAUUGGAAAAAAACACUCAACAAAAUAGUGAAACUGAAUAAAAUUAUAGAUAGACCCCGCACUUGCUCGGGGUAAAUUACCCUAGUGAAAGUAAGCGAACCCGAUUGUCGAAACAGAAGUCUGAGAGGUACAAACCAAUGGAGAAGAUUGGCAGGAGAGGAUGAUUGACCCAGAGAUAGGUAGCUAUUCAGGAGUUCCAAAGCUGGUACAUAGAAAAACUAAGGUUCGGGUUGGAGAGUCUGAAGCAAGCAAUGCGAUCUCUAACCGUAUUUUCCAAGAGUAAUUUGAGAUUUUGAGGGAGGGAUGCAUGUGAUCGAAAGUUGUUCCGAUGGAUUCUGUUGUUCCUCUUUCCAUCCAGAUAAAAGUAGAUGGUUGCUUGCCAGACAAGGAGAGCUAUUUUCGCUUGCGUUUCGAUUGCAUGCGUCAGGGUGAUUAGAGAUUCGAUGGUGUUCCAGACCAAGUACUCGAAGAACAGGUGAUCCCCUGUCUCGUCAUGUAGCUUGACAAGUUUGUUUGUUUGUUAGCCAUUGAAAUUUGCUUCUUUUCCUCCAUUAGCCAAUAGUUAGAGAGAUUUCCGUUGAGCACAAUCUGUCUGAACCAAGCAACCCAAAUAGAUUUCCCUAAAGGACACCAAAUUAUUAAAUCUUAUGAAAGACCUUAAGGAUAUCUUAUAAACCAAUAAACAAUUAGUCUCCUCAAAGGAAUAAGUCAUCAUCGCAAUGUUGAAUCAACACAUCAUACUAUGAUACUAUCUGACCAAACUUUAAAAAAAAACAAAGCUUCAAAAACAUUAGGAACCAAUAUAAAGAUAAUAACUUACAAAUUUAAUUAGUGUCUAACCACAACAGAGCGCUUACAUAUUUACAACACUAAUUCUCCUAUCACUGCGGACCCAUAAUUUUUUUUCUGGAUUAUUUUUCAAAAAAUAACAUAAAACUUGUAGUUAAACACUUUUAUGAAGUCUAAAGCGAAAAUAUUAUACAAAUCCUUUUUUGAUAAGGACUAGAUGAUUUAGAUAUACAUCAUAAGAUUUAGAUAAGUUCUAUUUCUAACUGAGAUAGAUCUAAGUCUUUUGUAUAUAUACAACUCUCUUGUAAAUCAUUAAGCCACAACACAAUAAUAUACUCAUUCUAGAAUUCUAAAGUUUGCAAACGAAAAUUGCACAUACUUUUUUCCAGAUGGUGAUGCGAAUCUUCGUGGAAACUCUUCGAGGCAAGACCAUACCUCUUCACGUCCGAAGCUCAGAAACCAUUGCCAACGUCAAGACAAGGAUACAAUAUAAGGAAAGAAUCCCUAGGGACAAGCAGAUGCUUAUCUUUAUCGGAAUUCCUAUGGAGGAUCACCGUACCUUGGCUGAUUACAAUAUCGAAAAAGAUUCAACUGUAUACUUGGUUCGUAGGAUGGAAGGUAUGCGAAUCUUGGUAAAGGCUCUUACAGGCAUGACCAUUACUCUUAAUUGUGUCCGAAGCUCAGAGACCAUUGGCGACGUCAAGGAAACGAUACAAUUAAAGGAAGGAAUCCCUAGCGACAAGCAGAGACUUAUCUUUGGCGGCAAGCACAUGGAGGAUCACCGUACCGUGGCUGAUUACAAUAUCCAAAAAGAUUCAAUUCUUUACUUGGCUUUACGAGGAAUUAUGCAAAUCUUUGUUAAGUUCCUUUCAGGCAAGACCAUAGCCCUUUUGGUCCAAAGCUCAGACACCAUUGGCAACGUCAAGGCAAGGAUACAACAUAAGGAAAGAUUUCCUCCCGACCAGCAGAGGCUUAUCUUUGCCGGAAUUCAGAUGGAGGAUCACCGUACCUUGGCUGAUUACAAUAUCCAAAAAAACUCAAGUUUCCACUGUGUUCUCAGGAUGAGUGAAAGUAUGCGUAUCAUUAUAGAGACUCUUGAGGGCAAGACUAUAGCCCUUGAUGGUGUCAAAAGCUCAGACACCAUUGGCAACGUCAAGACCAGGAUCCAAGAUCAAGAGGGAAUCCCUACGUACAAGCAGAUGUUGGUCUUUGCCUCUCAGCAGCUCGAGGAUGGCCGUAAGUUGUCGGAUUACCAUAUCUGGAAGGAGUCAGUCCUUCGCGUCCACUUUUUACAGUGUCGAAUGCAAAUAUUUGUGAUAACACUCUCUGGUCAAACCAUUGCCUUAGAAGUUGACAGGUCAGACAUUGUUGAGGAUGUAAAGACAAAGAUUGAGAAGGAGGUAGGGCUCCCACCAGAGUUACAGAGAAUCACGUUUGCUGGUAAACCACUCGAGGAUGGUCGCACACUUGCAUAUUAUAACAUCCCAACGGAGUCAACAUUUGACCUUUCUUUAAAUCUCACAUAAAAUAGAUUUUAUCUAUUCGUUUUUGUUUUUUGUUUUUCUUAUCUUGUUUUUGGGUUUUAUAUCAAACUUUUUUCAACUUUUUUCUUAUGGACAUGAAACUUGAUCGGAUAUUUGAACUCUGAGAUGCCUUUCACUAAUAUGAUGAUGAUCACCUAUUCAAGAGUGAUUAAAAUACAAAAGUAUAAAGACCCAGACACCCCUUUGGUAGGGGAAUCAACCUAGGGAUAUGAGGAGCCUACAACUCCAGCGACAAGGGCCAUUGAAUCGCGAAGCACGGCAGAGAUGAUGAACUGCACGACCAUUCCUGGAUCUUGCCUUUGCUGUUACUACGGUGGUGGUUCAAAUGUGUUCUUCAAAGACAGAAUCUUGCCUUCUUAUGCCUUUACUGUUUUGUUCUUUGUACAGUUUUCGCCAAUUCUCCACCAACAUCUCCCUCACGCACACUGGAGAUUGUAAUUUUUGCAAGAUGACCUGUAUUUAUUUAUUCAAAACAAAAUUUUAUGAUUAAUUGGGCCAUAAACUAUCUUCUAAAUCAAGGACGUUGGCUCUUCAUUCCAUAUUUUCUACAAUAAUAUAUACUUAUCAGUCACAAAAAUUGACCAUUUACAGGAACCAUAUUCUCCAAAUCAAUGUAUAGAAUUAGGAAAUAUAUUAUUUGUAACACUAUUGUAGUAUUGUGACAAUAAUAAGUUGUGACUUACUGUGCAUAUUAUGUAACUUGUAAACCAAAUUAACACACAAGUUCAUUUCUUUAAGAAUAUGUAUAAACUUCAAAUGACGUUGCUUUAAAUUCUUGAUUGAAUGCCAUCGCUUUAAUUUUUCUUUUGAUCUAAACAUAUAUCCGGUAUAAAGACGAAAUCUAUGUUCAAGAAUAAAACUACCAACUUAAUCCACUGAAAACGCUCUAGCGAUGUUGAUUUUGAAUAUAUGCUAGUGUUGACUAAAAACACCAGUGAAAACGCUCACAAACAGUUUCAUUCGGGUAUUAUAAAAGCCAGAUCACGUACGAGACAGUCUUCCCGAGUCGGGGUAGGUUUUGGUUCUGAUGUUUUAUGAAGAGGAUAGUAACUGGUUAUCUGUUGUAUCUGAUGGGGUUUGGAUAUUUGAAACCAAAGUAACUACUCUUUUCUUAUGUGUUAGUACGUAUAAAGUUGGGCAUUCUAGAUUUGUAUAUUGUUUGCAUUAUGGAAUUGCAUAUAUUAGCUAAAGAAUUACCGAAAAAUCAGGUUUACAUGAGUUUCAUAACGUCCACAAAGAAUAGAAUAGAUUUCGUCUUUUAUGAAGAGCAACUUUUAUGAGAUUUAUCUUCCGGCUUUGUAGUAUAAUAACUAAAAAUAUUGCUGAAACAAUAAUUUUAUUACUCUUGUUAAUAAAAUAGUUUAUGUGAUACGCAAUAACAUAUUUUCAUUUGUUAUAUACUAAAUCUAAAUAUCCCUUUUCUUCUUUUUGAUCAAAUAAUUCAUAAAUUUUUUUCAAUAAUUAAUUCUAAACAUUAUCUAACUAAUAUUUAUAUUUUAUUAACCGUUGAUAAGGAUGUUCUGAGGCUAAACCUAUUUAAGAAGACUACCCUUCAUUAUAAAUCAUGAUCUCUUUUAAACUUAUAAACGUAAACCCAAACAGUUGUGCAAGACUUUCAUAAUUCUUAAAAGGUAUGUUGUUUCUUCAACUUUUUUAACCAUAUAUUGAUUGUUUUAUGCCCUUAAACUAGAUAUUUUCUUCUUAGAUAAAGAUUCAUUAGGAUCUGUAGAAACUUUUGUAUGAUAUGUGUGUGCUAACAAGAAUUGCAUACUUUUUUUUUCAGAUGAUGAUGCAAAUCUUUGUUAGGUUUGUUUCAGGCAAGAGCAUAACCCUUUUGGUCCAAAGGUCAGACACCAUUGACAACGUCAAGGCAAUGAUAGAAGAUAAGGAAGGAGUCCCUGCUGACCAGCAGAGACUUAUCUUUGUCGGAAAUCAGAUGGAGGAUCACCGUACCUUGGCUGAUUACAAUAUCCAAAAAGACUCAAGUCUCCACUUGGUUCUCAGGUUGAGCGGAACUAUCCGAAUCUUCGUAAAGACUCUUACAGGAAAGACAUUACUCUUUACUUUCAAAUCUCAGACACCAUUGGCAACGUUAAGGCAAGGAUACAAUAUAAACUUCGUAUCCCUAGCGACAAGCAGACGCUUAUGUUUUCCGGAAAUCAGAUGGAGGAUCACCGUACCUUGGCUCGUUACAAUAUCCAAAAAGACUCAAUUAUCUAUUUGGCUCUUGGGCCGGCAAGAUUUAUGCGAAUCUAUGUAAAGACUCUUAUAGGCAUAACCAUAACUCUUAACGUCCGAAGCUCGGACACCAUUGGCAACGUCAAAUCAAGGAUACAAUUUAAGGAAGGAAUCCCUAGCGACAAGCAGAGGCUUAUCUUUGGCGGCAAACAGAUGGAGGAUCACCGUACCGUGGCUGAUUACAAUAUCCUAAAAGAUUCAACUAUACACUUGGUUCUUAGGUUGGGAGGAUUUAUGAAAAUCUUUGUUAAGUUCCUUGCAGGCAAGACCAUAGCCCUUAUGGUUCAAAGCUCAUGCACCAUUGACAGUGUCAAGACAAUGAUACAACGUAAGGAAGGAUUUCCUACCGACCAGCAGUGUCUUCUCCUUGCCGGAUAUCAGAUCGAAGAUGACAGCACCUUGGCUGAUUACAAUAUCCAGCAAGACUCAACUCUCCACUGUGUUCUCAAGUUGGGUGGAAGUAUGCGUAUCUUCAUAAAGACUCUUAGGGACAAGAUCAUAUCCCUUGAUGAGGUCAAAAGCUUAGACACCAUUGAAAGCGUCAAAGCCAGGAUCCAAUAUAAAGAGGGAAUCCCUAAGCACACGCAGAUGUUGAGCUUUGCUGGUAAAGACCUGGAGGAUGGCCGUUGCUUGGCGGAUUACAACAUCUGGAAGGAGUCGACCCUUCAUCUCCGUUAUUUAGGUGAUGGAAUGCAAAUAUUUGUGAAAACGCUCUCUGGUAAAACCAUUACCUUAGCAGUUGACAGCUCAGACAUUGUUGAGAAUGUGAAGGCAAAGAUUCAAGAAAAGGAUGGGCUCCCACCAAACCGACAGAUAAUCACGUAUGCUGGUAAACUACUCGAGGAUGGUCGCACGCUUGCAUAUUAUAACAUCCAAAAGGAGUCAACACUUGAACUUUUUUGUAAAUUUCACAUAAAAUAGACUUUAUCUAUUCGUUUUUCCUUUUUGUUUUGUUUUUCUUUUCUUGUUUUUGGGUUUUAUAUUAAACUUUUUUCUUAUGGACAUGAAACUUGAUCGGAUAUUUGAACUCUGAUAUGUCUUUCACUGAUCUGAUGAUCACCUAUUCAAGAGUGAUUUAAAACACAAAGUAGAAAGACCUAGAUACCCCCUUGGUAGGGGAAUCAUCCUCGGGAUAUGAGGAGCCUACAACUCCAGCGACAAGGGCCAUUGAAUUGCCAAGCACAGCAGAGAUGAUGAACUGCACGACCAUUCCUGGACCUUGCCUUUGCUGUUACUACGGUGGUAGUUCAAAUGUGUUCUUCUUAUGCCUUUACCGUUUCGUUCUUUGUAAAGGGUUCGCCAAUUCUCCACCAAUAUCUCCCUCAUGAACACUACCUUGAGAUUAUACUUUUUGCAAGAUGACAUGUAUUUAUUUAUUUAUAUGCAAAAUCAAAGUUUAAUGAUUAAUUGGGCCAUAAGCCAUGUUCUUAAUCAAGGACCUUGGCUCUUCAGUCUAUUUUUUUUUACACUAUUAUAUACUCAUCAGUCACAAUAAUUACAAUUUAUAGGAACCAUAUUCUCCAAAUUAAUGAUUAGAAUUAGGAAAUAUGUUCAUGUGUAACACUAUUGUAGUUUUCUGACAAAUAAUAAGUUGUUACUUAGAGUGCACGUUAUGAUAUUGCUUUAAAUUCUUGAUUGAUUGCCAUCGCUUUGAUAUUUCUUUUGAUCUAAAACAUAUAUCCGGUACAAAGACGAAAUCCAUGUUCAAAAAUAAAACUACCAACUUAAUCCAGUAAAACGCUCUAGCGAUUGUUACAUAUGCUAGUGUUGACUAAAAACACCAGUGAAAACGCUCGCAAAAAAUAGUCUCAUUCGGAUAUUAUAAAAUACUAGAUCGGAUCGCGUACGAGUCAGUUCUCCCAGCUCCGGGUGGAUUUGAUCUGAUGUUUAUGAACAGGAAAGUAAAUGGUUAUCGGUUGAUUCCUAUGGAGUUUGGAUAUUUUAAACCAAAGUAACCAAAUUACUCUUUUCUUACGUGUUAGUACGUAUAAAAUACCAUUUCUAAACGUGUUUACACAUGCAAACUUUUUCAAUAAUUUUUUUUCACUUUUCACAGUAAGAUGCAAAUAUGAAAAACUAUUAAAAUAUAAAAUUUACGUUGGACUGAAAAAACAACUUCCGAACAAAAACAAUACUCCAAAUAAAUAAAUAAACAACAACGAAAAAAGCAACAACACAAAUUUGUAAACUUAUAAUAGACAAUCGCAAUAUCAUUUUCGAAUCACGACACCAGGCGACAUUGUUUUGCCCAUUCGAAGAGAGAACGAUAAGAAGACCCACCUUGAGCCCAAGCUCGCUCGGAGCUAGCCCUCACCUCCUCAGCUUUAGCCCUUACCUUCUGUCCUUCUUCAUCCUCUUCCACCAUAAUCUUUCUCACCAAAGUCGCCACUUCUUCUCGGCCAAUCACUCUCUUUGAUGGUAACUCCGACGUACGAACGGCCACACCGAUGUCCUCCGUUAGCAACGUGGCAUUCAUCCAUUGCUCCGCAUAAAGAGGCCAAGCCACGAUUGGAACUCCUUUAGUCAAGCUCUCUAACACGGAGCUCCACCCACAAUGAGACAAGAACCCACCGAUCGAUCCAUGGCUCAAAAUCUCAACUUGCGGUGCCCAUUGCGUGACAACAAGACCCAUACCACGCGUGCGGUCCAAGAAACCUUCUGGUAGACCGGCACUUACCUGAUCAUCAUCAGUCGAGCUCGCCCCAAGGUAAGAAGUGGGCCUACGCAGAACCCAUAGAAACCUUUGACCACUUAAAUCUAAACCGUAAGCGAGUUCCAUAGUUUGCUCUAAGGACAGUGUACCACCACUUCCUAAACACACAAACACCACUGACUUAUCCGGUUGCUUGUCCAACCACUCAAGUAUGUUAUCGGCCUUUUCAGUAGGCCCACUAGACCUAACAAUAGGCCCAAUACCAUAAACCGGUGCUUUCAUAACCCGGCUCAAUUCUCCAUCCUCCGUAAGGGCAGAUAGUGUGUUUCCUUGUAACUCCUCCCAAGUAUUUACCAAAACGCCAUGGCUCAUAGGUAUCUCCAUGCAACACCGCAUACACUCUCGGUACUGUGGGUUUGACCGGUCUAACAUUGUUUCCAUAAGCUCGUCCGGUCCAACCGGUCUACAACCUGGUAUUUUCAUAGGCUCUUUGAUAUCAGUAUAUUCCCCUUCCACGACUCUAUCCAAUACCGGCGUGUACACUACUACAGCCAAGAACCACGCGUGGGAAGGGACGUACACGUACGUAGCGUUCACGCCAAUAUCAUCAGCAAUGGACAUCAGGCCGGUACCAAAAAUGUCUACGAUCAUGACCGUCGGUUUCCGAUUCAUUGAUUUCACGGCGUCUUGAACCGCCGUCUUUGUCUUUGUUGCUCGCAUCAUCUCUAUGAUUUUUGUAGGUACCGUCGCAUCUGGGGAGUGGUCUAUAUCAAUUGAGGGUAGUUCCCUAACUUCGCAUGUCCCUCUCGCCACGGCUGCACGUAUGGCCUCUGUUUCUAUUGGGGAGGAACCGGAGGUUACGGCGAGAAUGGUGACGUGAAUCUUGAGGACGGAGGAGAGACGGUUGCCUAGUUCGAGGAUAGGGAUGAGGUGGCCUAAGCCAGGGCUAGCGACUAGAACCGCGUGAGGCUGGUCCAUGAUCUAUUCAUGAGAAGGAUGUGUUAACAUGAUUGUGAAUCGAGAGACGGUUAAGUAAAUAAAAUGGUAUUAUUACGUGAGAUCCUCCAUCACUCACCUGUCCUUGUAUAAGAAGUUGUUCCUUGCUUAGUUGCUUGUCAAUGGCUGUGUAUGAACUGGGAUAAGACCAUGCUAUAUAUAAAGGGUCAUUUUUAACAAAUAAAAAGGGACAUUUAGACCAAAAAAAAUAAAAAGGGACAUUUUACAGAGAGAGUAUUUAUUAUUAUUGCUUUUGAAGGGAUGAAUAUCUAGAAUAAUUAUUUUUUAAAUCGUAAUUGCUAUACUAUCUUUUUAAAAAACGUGGAUUGUUUUCCAUAGGGGUCACUGACAAGUGCAUGCAUGUAAGUGUUACACGUAAGACCAAAAGUUUUGUUAAAGAGACCUAGCAAUAACGAGAUUUCAAUCUUUUGUACUGAAGCUAAAGUUCCGAUCGAACGAUAAAAAUAGUUCUGCAUAUCAAACAAAUCAAGAAUAAGCGGAACAAAAACAUAUCAAACGAAUUAUGCAAAAGAACUGCAGAUCAAACAGAUCAUAUAUCAAACGGACUAAACUGUUAUUAUAAUUUUGAAUGAUAAAAAUAGUUCAAAUAAAAUAAAUUAUAUUUUUAAAUAAUAAAAUUUACAAUAAAAUAUAUCACAACACAUAAUAUAGUAUAUAAUACAUAAACAACAAUAAAUCUUGAACUAAAACCAUGUUACUGUAAUUUUAAAAUCAAUAUAUGAAAAUGUUAAAAUUUAAUGAAAAAUAUAUAUAUUUCUUUCAGUAGUAUACAUAUUUAAAUUAUAUUAAUAUAUUUUGCUAAUACAUAUAAUAAUUAAGUACACAUUAUAAAAAUAUAAUAAUUUAAAUAAAUGUAAAAUUAUAUAACAAAAAUAGAAAGAUAAAUAUAUAAAUCAAUGAUAUUUUUAUAUUGUUAAAAUUGUAAGUAAAAUAGAAUAAAAUUAUUGUAUUUAUAAAAAUAGAUAAAUGCAUUUAUUUUAUUUAUAAAAAUAGAUAAAUGCAUUUAAAAUUAAAUAUUUGUAGAUCUCCCACAAGCAACACCAAAUAUAUAAUGGAUGAGAUUUGCAUGCAGAUUUCAUGCUUUUUUAGAAAAGAACAAAAUAAUUGAACUAUAUAUAAAUUUUUGUUUUGGACUAAAUGUAGAUUUUUUGCUAUCUACAAUGUAAAACCUUAAAUGGUAUAAUUAAUAGAAUGAUGAAUGCAGUGUGGAAAAAUUGCAUGUUCAAAUGAUCUGCUCUUCUCCUGCUACAAGCCUACGCCAUUCGAAGAACGUCCCGAUAUUUCUCAGAUUUGUUCACAUUAAGAAGAAUAAAUUGCUGAUCCCGAUGUUUCUCAGAAUUGUCCAAGUUAAGAACACUACAAGAAAACAUCGGGAUACUGAGGGAAAAAAUCGUCGGUAUGUCGUCGGAAUAACGCUAUUCCGAGGACAUACCGACGAAACAAGUCCUCGGAAACAUCUCCUCGGAAUUUUGUUUCCUCGGAAUUCCGUCGGAAAAUACCGAGGGAAUUCCGAUGGUCCAAUCCUCGGAAGUUUCGACGAAAUAUUCCUCGGAAUGUUUAUCGGAAAAUACCGAGGAACAAAUGUUCCUCGGACUUUUCCGAGGAACUUUCUUCCCUCGGAAAAUUCCGAGGGAGUGGAGUUUCUCGGAAAAUUCCGAGGAACUUUUUCCCUCGGAAAAUUCCGAGGAACUUAAAGUUCGUCGGAAUUUGCCGAGGGGAGAAAGUUCCUCGGAAUCUUCCGAGGAACUCCAUUCCCUCGGAAUUUUGAAAAAAUUUAUUUUUUUUUUAAAAUUUAUUUUUUUUUAAAAUUAAUUUUAUUUUUAAAAAUUAAAAUUUUUAAAAUUUAAAAUUAAAAUUAAAUAAAACAUAAAAUAAAACAUAGUAGAUAAUAUUCAAAUUUAAAUAAAACAUUCAGAGUUUUUGGAAAAAAAAAAAACCACGGGUCUUGAAUGUUCGGAAACGUCUCGUUCGGGUACAUCCUCUUCAUCAUCACCAUCAUCUGCUCGUUCAGCCUCUUCUGGGUCUCAUAGCCCGCCUGUUGAGCUGCCAUCUGGGUCUCCAACGCAGAUAUCCGAUCAUCCUUGUCCUUCAGCUGAGCCGUAAGAACUUCUGGAUCAACAUACGCAUGUGGUGCAGAAGAAGGAGCAGCCGACCGGGAGCGACGACCCAAACCGACCAAACGUCCCUUUUUCUUUGGAACCGACUGAAAUAUAAAUAACCAAGUUUAGAUAAUUUAAAUUGAUGAUAAAAUAAAAAUCAAGAAAUAAUUAAAUUGAACUUUUUAAAAAAAAAAACUUACCGAUUCAACGAUUUCGUUGAUUCGAACCCGAGACAAGUUGGUCGAGGCCGUCGAAUCGUCAUCAUCGGUUUGAAGCUGAGACACUUCGUCAUACAUCUGAGUUUGGACCAGGUCGACCACGUCCCUCACAAGACCAUCAUCAAUCUGGCCGGUCUUCUUGUUGGUAUACGCCCUUUUCAUAAGGGCGAGAUCAUCAACUGGGUGGCCUUCAUUUUCUUCCGCCUUGAAAAAAAAUAAAUUAGACAAACAUUAGAAAUUUGAAAAUGCAAAAAAAAAAAAAUUCUGAAACUUAAAUAAUUGAAGAAAAAGCGGUUGAGCUUACCAUGCGAUCCGCCAGAGUGGCAAUAGAUUGAGCACCCAAGUUAUGCUUGUAGAUGCCCUUUCCUUUACGGUCGCUCCUGCGGUUGUUGGAGUUGGUGGAAGAAGUUUCUUUCGUCUCUUCUUUAUCCCAAUGCGCACACAACUCCUUCCAGAC
rnacentral:lncRNA from 1 species